AUUGAAUUCCUUGCACACAGUCACACGCACACUGCCAUCUCGUACAAAUCCCAUGCCAGGUCCUUCCGAGCUUUCAAAAGGCAAACAGCUUGUAAAGGAAAAUAUCCCAGUCUGUGCACAUUCAAAACAGAUGCAACCAUGCUCAGACGAGGAGCACAAAGCGUAGGGAUGGUGUCUUUGUCAUGUGCAUUGACAACAUGAGAAGCUUGGUCAUGAAAUGGUUACCAAUGCAUGACACUGUUGCCACUUAAACAAGCAGCACAUCCCAUUAUACAAAAGCAAAAACACACUGUAUUUGCUGUGUCUUGGUCAUUGCUAGGCAGCUUCUACGCCCUAGAAAGAAACUGCUUCUGAUCGUAGAGAGAGUGCACAGAUUGGGUAGCAUGGAUUAAAAGAGGUCCUUUCACUCCUAUCACAUACAAAGCAGUCACAAGGAGAAUGCUGAAUUCAAGUAGGGUCCCCAGACCUUUUUCGCCUAUCUAUUCCUGUAUCUAGGUCACUAGCAAAUACAAGCAUCAUGGAUCUUUCUUUUAUGGCAGCUCAGGUAAGAAAUCUUUGCUAUUUGCUAUUUUUUUAUUUUUUAUAUCAGACCUUCUUCGUGCAAUACUUAUUGCUGAAUUGAAUUGUGCUGGCAAAUGUAUCUGAGAAAUCAACAAGUUUGUCUAAACCGUCACUGUCUAAUUUCCCCUGGGUCACGUCUUCUUGUGAUUUUCGAUACGGUUUGAAGAAUGGUGAAAUCUCCACUUUUAGAUUUCAAAUACAUUUUCUACAAAAAAUUAUUAUUGAUAUAUUCUGGAAAUUGCAAUGGAAAUUCGGUCUUCUUGUUGUCAUUUUAUAAUUACUCACACCUCCAAAUUGUUGACCCUCGAUACAUCUUUUUUGUAGCUACGUACAUUCUCUAAAACAUAGGAGGGAAGCAGUCCAUCAGGCGUUGUGACCUCACUUAUAUAAACAGAGACAACACCCUCCUCAUGUUCCUCCAUUAGACAAAUAUGCUACUUAUAUGUUAGAAUUUAGGUAGGAAGAAUCUUAAUGGGAUAAAAACAUUUUAACUAUUGUAUAUGUUUUGUUACCUGAUGAAUGUUAUUUUAAAUUUGUUGUUGAUGUAUAUAUACCUGAAUGCUUCUAAUCUUUUAGUGACCUCUUUCCAGUAACCGAUUGGGUAUAAAGUUACAGAUAAAGAAAACAUAUAAAAAAAAUAAAUAAAAAAUAUCAUAAGACAAAAUAUUUUUCUUUGCAAACAGAAUAUGUUUUAUAUAUGUAAUUUUUGUUUAUCCCCCAACCCCACUUUUCUGCAGGGAACUUUACGCCCAGAUAAUUUUAGGUCAUAGUUUAAUUUGUAAUAUAAGUACUUUUAAUUCUUUGAUUUAUAUUCUUAUUAGCUGUAUUGAUUCUAUAUGGAAUAGGUGUAAUUUUUCUUGAUUAUUAAAAUAUGUUAAAAAACAAACAAAAAAAACCAUACAGUGAAUACAGGAGUAUUAAUUUAUAGGCUGCCCAGCAUAUAUUGUAAUUAGCUAGUUUCUAUUUGCCUAAUUAAAUAUGUAAAUCUCAUUUAUUACUAUUUGAUAACCUGUAAGAAUAUGGGCUGGCCCAUGGAGACAACCCAGAGCAUUAUUCUGUGAAAAGUAUGCAGACAAAAAAAUAAACACCAUUUUGAAAGUGCUGAAAAUCAGAGAUAAUUGUUACUGUAUCCACAGUGAGAGAAUGCCGCACCAACAAUGUUAUUCUGUAACUACUCAUAAACUGGGCCAGCUAGAUGUCUAAUCACAAAUGUAUUUUUAUUGUAAUGCAAUUAAGAUGCAUGAAACAAGGUCUAAAGAGUAAAAGCAAUUCAUAAAAUGCACCUAUCAAAAUCUACCUGCACCAUAGUACUCACUGAAACUUUACAUUGGAGGAAUUUCUGGCAAAUGUAUUAAUUUAAAGAUAUACUUCAGCUAUACUGCACCUCAACAUAGCAGCUGCAGGUACAUGGAAUGGCCACCACCCUCUCAAGGUACACGUGUGGCAUCCUGUACAUAUAAUACUGGCAAAUUGUAGAAUGGCAUUACUUUAUUGCGGCCACCAGUAGAUAUAGCUGUCUGUACUCUGCAUUUGUGCCCUAUAGAGGCAUAGUAGUAAAGGCUGAUAAUAGAUGGAUAGAUAGAUACAUAGAUAGAUACAUAGAUAGAUAGAUAGAUAGCUCUAUAUAUGGGGUGAGGUACAGGUAAACACUAUGCUUACAAAAUUAACUGUCUGACAAUAAAACAAUUAGACCUGUGCAGCAGAAGCUCCACACUGUAGUCCCAACAGUAAAUUACAACAAACAAUAAACGAACAAGAGCCCUGCGCAUCCAGUAUAAGUGUGCACACUCAGGUGCUACCGCAGUUUAUUUGAGGACAAAAUCCAAACAGCAAAAGUUUCGGGCAACAGCCCAGGACAUUAGCAUUGAGAAAGGGCUGUUGCCUGGAACGUUUGCGGUUUGGAUUUUGUCCUCAAAUAAACUGCGGUAUCACCUGGGUGUGCACACUUAUACUGGAUGCACGGGACUCUUGUUCGUUUAGUUAGAUCUAGACAUUUUUAUGAAAGGUGUCUAAUGAAUGCGCAGAAAUGUGACAGAUAUUGAGCUAUAAAUGCAGCCUUGUAUUCUCAACAUGGUAUUCAGGAAAAAUAUUAUUCAUGAUAAAUUGUAUCAUGGCCCAAGGAGGUUACAAUUUAACUAUAAGUGAGUAGAGGAAUGGACAUUAGUUCCUGAGAGUCAUGUACUGGUUGUGAUUGCUAUGUGCUUCAUAUUUUUUGUAGUAGAUUAUAGGGUCAUUCUGGACCCUAAAGCACUUUAAAGGGACACAAUAGCCACCAGAACAACUACAGCUUAUUGUAUUUGUUCUGGUGAGUGGAAUCAUUCCCUUCAGGCUUUUUGCAGCCUAUGGAUACCUCCAGUGGCCACUCCUCAGAUGGCUGCUAGAGGUGCUUCCUGGGGCAGUGAUGCACAUUGUGACUGACAUUCAGUGUCUUCACUCUCUGCAUGACACUGACGUUUCCGCAUAAAGAUUAAUUGAUUCAAUGAAUCUCUGUGAGGAGAUGCUGAUUGGCCAGGGCUGUAUUUGGCUUGUGCUGGCUGGCCCCUGAUCUGCCUCUGUGACAGUCUCAGCCAAUCCUAUGGGAAAGCAUUGUGAUUGGAUCAGAGAAUGACUUCUGAUUAUAUCAGCCAAGCAGGCAGAUCAGAGGCAGAGCCAGCAGCUGCAGACUUGAAUAAUAUUUAGGGAGAAAGGGCCAGAUGGUGGUUUUAACACUAUAGGGUCAAGAAUACAUGUUUAUGUUCCUGUCCUUAUAGUGUUCUUUUAACUUACUGGAAAGCUUUAUGUGUAAAGAGUGUUUCCUCUUUUUUUCAUUUUACAAAACAUACAGGUUUUAAUAUAAAGUUACACUUUUAGAAAUUAACCUGGUUACACCCCCUGGCUGUCAAGGAAACAACUGGUUCAGUUACUUUCUGGUUUUGUUAACUCAGUGGAGCUAAACUCAAGAGGUAGCAAUUGUUCAGAGGACCAACCUUGCAAAGAGUUCUCAUUCAGCUGUAUUAGACAGAUCCUGAAAGUCUGGGCUGGUUAGACUGGGAUGGCUUGCGAAGGCAGUUUUUGCAAACUGUUUUUAGAUAUACCUGCAAUAAAAAUAAUCAUAAUCAUAUGCAUGCAUGUUUUCAUUUGGGAUAUGUCUACUAAACAUUGAUUUUUAUUUUAUUUUGUAUUUGGAUGGAGAGUGCUCCUUUAAGUGCAAUAAAAGAGUUUUUCAUGGUAUUAUAGUGCCCUGCACUAUUACUUGUAUAUCACAUAUACUCAUGACAAAGUCCACCAGUGAUGGUGAAUGACAUAAGAUGAAGUUAAAGACAGUUAAGUAAAUUAUGAAGGGUUAUCCAAUAUUUAUUGACAUGACAGUGGCUACUGAUGAACUGUUAAUGCUGACACAAUCACAAUCUCAUAGUUAUCAUAACAUUGCUUUCUAUAAUCAAUUUCAUUGGUAAAAAUGGGAACAAUAUCUUACAUUAAACAAGUUUCAUAAGUCACUAUUUUCCCAAAAAAGAAAUUCGCCUAAUUUUAAUGGGACCAUUGAAAACCUUACAAUAUUAGCACCUUAAAAGACUUGAAAAUGGUUUGCUAAAGAAUAACCAAUACACCUAAAUAACAUAUAAGCAAAAUUAACGCCACAAUUUAAACACCUUCACUAAAUUGAUGAUGUGUACAAGCAACUUCAACCAAAAGCUCCUUCUUAAUUAGUCAUACCAAUUAAAGGACACAACCAAAUAAUUUUUAAUUAAAAUACAAUGCAGCAGGGGUCUGGGCCUGGCAGCCGUUCAAGUAGAACACAGCAUGACUGAGCUCUGCGACUUAUAUUUUAAGCUAUUAAUCUGCGUUUUACAAUUGCUAGCAGUUGCACCUUUAUUUUUUAUAUCGGGGAAACACUAAGGCCCUUACCUUGACUGAGUUUCGGAUUGAAUUAUUGAAAAUUUGCCUUGUAUUUUACCUCUGGCCUAUUAGCCUGUGUGAGACAGGGAAAGCAGACGAUUACCUGCUCUUGAGCAGCCUUAGUAUUAUGUCAGCCCUGUAUUUCCCCCUUUGGACACGCAGAAGUUAUCCCAGCCCCACUGGCAUGAUGAGCUUUGCCAUCUGACGGAGAGAUUUGGCCUGUCCAAUAAUGCAUCGGAACAUGCGGUCUGUACCUACACUGGCUGAAAUGCCUGUCCUACGGAGAUCAUCCACUCCGCAAGUGCCAAGCAUGGCUUCAUUUGAUGAGCUUUUGAUUAAAUCUGCACCCUAUUCUGGGCUUGCAUAGCUCACUGUAAUUUUCUCAAACAAUCAGCAUGUGGCCGUAUAUCUUGCACCAGCAUCCCAGUUAUGCACUUCAAACUACCAUCUACCUAGGCUGUAAGCCAAUGGUGGAAACCUCUAUCACUCGGCCCACUACCUGAGGGGGUCCUACAUACACAGUUUGUGUGCAUGGUGGGACUCACCUUGACUCACAGCGCCUGAAGUGGCCAGAUAUGUUAGCAAAAUGCGUCGGCUUGGAUAACAGCCGUCGGCUUGGAUAACAGCCUUGGGUUGGAGGAGCAAUACAUCAGAAGACCUCCCCUACUCAAAGAGCAGACUUGACUUUUCCUUGUGAGCACCAUGCUGGAACUAGGGGUGGGAUAGAUAGCUGGAGAUGUAAAGAAGUCUUAAAAUGCAUUGUGCAGCGCUUAUGGCAUUCUGUGUCUUUGCAAGCACUAUGAUUUUAUCAGCAGGCUAACGUUUUAUAGUGAUUUUGUGAGUCUCUCUAUAUAUCCCGGUUGGUUGUCCCCACAUUGCCGCCCAGUGGUUUCACAAAAGCCUUUGUUCUAGUUCAAUCCCAUGUUAUUAAAUUGUACCACAUAUUUUAUGCCUGAUCUAUCUUAUUGCCAAAUCAUAUUUGUUCUUACUGCAUAUUGUACGUUAUGGAACAAGCUAUAACAGAUAUAUGUAUGCUACAUUACUUGAAUAAAAAUUCCCACAUUGCGAUUUUAUAAAUAUAUACCAUAUAUAUUCUGUGUUAAUACUGUGAUUAUGGCUGUACUCACUUGUGCACUAAAAAGGAAUUAGCAAAAUAAAAUACAAUGCAGACAAAUGAAAGACUUAAUAAUUACACAUAUGUAUAGUAACUCACAAAACCAUUCUUAACACGUUAAAGUAACACAUACAAAAAUGAUCAACCCAUUAAGUUCCACAUUGGAAGUUUAACAAUGAAAUUUUCCAAAACCAUUAUCAAUUAAUUGGUCAUUAUCGAUGUUGGAUUAUAUAAGCCAUAUUUGGAUUUCAAGCUAUUGUUUUUGGAAGCUUAGCGAGUGGUUUGUUCUAUUUAUGUUUGUUGUAUCGCUGUUAAUUAUUCAUACCUGAGAAUUGGUUUCUUUGCCUUAGAGAUCCCUUGUGGUUAAAAUUAAUGUCGAACUAUACAAUAACAUUUUUUAUAUAUACUUUCUCUAUAUUUAUAUUUACUUUUUGUAUUUAGGUUUUUACUUAGCAAUUUUGACUUGUGAAUACAGGCAAAGUGAUAUCAAAAUCCACACUGCAGGGGCUACUCAGAUAUUUACUGGAAUUAGGCCCAUAAACUUGAUUCCAUGGUUUCUUUGCAUGUGACAACUUAUUUUCCAUUUACUGCAAUACUGAACCAGGUUGCUCUAGCAGAACUGGGUGCUUUGGACAGAUUUUAACUGGAGGCCUACUGAUCUAACUGAAGAAUGAAAAGCAGCCAAUGGCUCCACCUGUGUAGUGAUCUUAACUCUGCUGGGCUCUGUCACCCCCAACCCCCCUCCUUUAGGCCAGUGGGGUUUAUCCUGGUCCCCAUUGGAGAGAAUCCGUUUCCUUUAUAUGAAACAUUUUGAGAAUUAAUACUUGAUUGAACCAGAGGCCACAUUUCCAAAAUGACUGCCGUAGCCAAGCCGACCUGCUAGCAUCCAUCUGCUUUUCAACCCUCAUCAAGGGAAACACUUCUACAAGCUUUUAAUAACAUAUGCACUAGAUUUUGGGCAUCUUUGGACUAGUGGGCUAUCCAGAAUGGUUCGCAUCUGACCCAGACCAUUAGCUCCAAACAACUUCACAAAUUCACCACAUCCAGGGCUUUCCCUCCUCACUCCCACUUACCCUGGCCAUGGGCCUUUCAGAGAAGGUACCACGUGUAGUAUAAUGUGUUUAUUUAUAGUUUUAUUAUUUAAUGGAAAGCAACAACAUAUACCACAGUGCUGUACAAUAGGUUGCCGGUCUAAUGAAUCACAGUGUCUUUGAGAUCAGGUGCCUGUGCGUUGUUUAGCGUUCAUAUGCUCUGGACAAUGUCAUGUGAAUAAUAUUUUGGCAUGUACUACCUAUCUAGAGAUUGUUGCAGACAACAUACCCCCCUUCAUGGCAAUGGUGUUCCCUGAUGGCAGUGGCCUUUUCCAACAGGAUAAUCCACCCUGCCAUACUGCAAAAUUGUUCAGGAAUGGUUUAGGGAACAUAACAGAUCUCAAAACAAUUGAGCAUCUGUGGGGUGUGCUGAAAGAACAAAUUGGAGCAUUUCGUAACAUGCAGGACUUAAAGGAUCUGCUGCUAAUGUCUUGCCAGUGCCAGAUAGCGCAGGACACGUUCAGAGGUUUUGCAGAGUCCAUGCCUAAAUGAAUCAGAGCUAUUUUGGCAGCAUAUGGGGUCCCUUAGGACAUAAGGCAGGUGGUUUUAAUGUUGUGGCUGAUCUGCAAUAUUCUAUCUCUCUCUCUCUCUCUCUCUCUCUCUCUAUAUAUAUAUAUAUAUAUAUAUAUAUAUAUAUAUAUAUAUAAGUGUUAGGAGUAGAGUGAGAGAAUGUGUUGUCCACAUAGAUAUUGCCAACAGUAAGGCAGUAAUACAUUUUUACGUAUAAUCCAUUUUUGACACAAUUCAUUCAGUAACCAGAUCAAACCAGUCUUACCCCUUGUCUACCUGAUUCUAACAAACUGCAAGUUUCUAGUAGGUUUCUCAGUCGGACACAUCAUUCAUUUGCAGAGUAUUCAAUUCAGUAACCAGAUCAGACACGUUUUAAGUAGGUUCAACAGUUAGACACAUCUAGCCUUUUCUGGGGCAAGCCACUAGGUCAAUCUAGUUAAUAUAUAUGUCCAAAUAGUAAGGAGGGCUAUAAGAGGGCAUUUUGGCAGGGCCUUUCUCUCUCAGGGCUCUGUGAGUGAGUAGAGGCCAGAUUGUCUUCAGUGGAACCAGAUUAUAACCAGGAGCUGAAUUUUUACAGAAGUGUCACCAGUGCCCACAGGGAACCUUAUUGUCAGGAGCCUGCAGUUAGUUUGAAUGAACUAAUGUGAGCUGAAUUACUGGUAAUAAAUAUUGCAAGUGAACAAAAUCUACAGUUUUUGUAUGAUCUGUCCUGGGCAUUUUUCUGAAUAAUAGUUACUCUCUGUGAGAAUUGAUUCAUGGUGAGAAAAGAAGACAGAAGAACAGUAUAAUUACGAUCACUGUUAUUAUUAUUUUUGUACAACACUGUGUGCAUAGCUCACACUCGAAGAGGGUUCCCGAUGGUCGUCAGUACGGACAAGCUGCAGGAUUGUCCCGGAAUUCUGGUUUGGGUGCCAGGGGUCACCGGACCAGUGAGCAACUAGUGCAUGCUCAUGUUCAGGCCUUAGGCUAGUGGCAGGCUUUAUUUCUCACAAGAUUAUGUUUCAUCUGUAUUCCAGGGACUCUACCUGCUAGUGUCUUUCCCACUCUCGGCAUAGACUGAUUACAUAACAUCUGGUUAACUGUAGCCAGGGCCGGUGCAAUGAUUUUUAGUUACACAGGCGAAGAUGCAUUUGUGUUUUGUAGCCCCCCCCUUUUGAAUUUCUGACACUCUUUAGCGUAUUGUAUACCCCCUUUAUUAUGUCUUAAAGGCGUCUUCAUCUGUGUGUCUCUUAUAACCCCCAGCUCCUUUGUGUGUCUCUUCCUUCCCCCAAACACCAUUCUGCGUCUCUCUCCCUUCAGCCAGUUUUUUGUCCCUCCACCCCAGGGUCCAUUGUGCGUCUUUUUCCUCCCAUGCCACAUAGACAUAGAUAUAUAGCAACACACAACCAUACAAGCACACAGAAUUAUUCAGCCACACAGUCACAGAGAUAUGAAGGCACACAAUCAAACAAACACAGUCAUACAGGCACACAGUCAUACAAUCUACACAUAAAGGUACAAUGUCAUACAAAGACAUAGAGACACACACAGAGACAUUCACACAUUACACACUGUCAUAUACACAUACAGACACAGGCAUACAAAGACAUACAUAUCCAGUCAUACAAAUACAGGUAUACAGAGCAGGGGUGGAUCCAGAACCUAAUCUCGGGAAGGGUACUGGAAGUGGGUUGUAGUGGCUGUAGUUAGUUGAAAAGUUAGGGGCUGUAGUGGGGUGACAGGGGCUGUAGUGGGGGGUAUGGGUUGUAAUUGGGGGGUUAGGAAAUGUAGUGGGGGGAUAGGGGCUGAAGUAGGUUGAUGGCUGCAAAUGGGGGAGAGGGGCUGUAGUUGGAGGUAAGGAUUGUAGUGGGAAGUAAGGACUGUAGUAAGGAAAUAGGGGCUGUGGUGGAGGUAUGGGGUGUAAAAGUGGGGUUAGGGCUGAACGUGGGGGAAUAGAGGCGGUAGGUGGAGUGAUGUGUAGUCAAGGAGUUAGGGCUACGGUGGAGGGCACAGGGGCUGUGGUGUGGCACAAAGGCUGUGGUGGAGGACACAGAAGCUGAGAGAGGGGAAGGGAUGUAGAGGGUGGCACAGGUGCUGUAGAGGGGUGAACUCUACAGGUGCUGUAGAGAGGUGAACGUGGGCUAUAGGGGGGCACACGGGCUGUGGUGGGGGGCAUGGGGGCUUUGGUGGGCAGUACAGGGGCUGUGGUGGUGGGGACAGGGGCUGAGAGGGAGCAUAGAAGCUUUGGUGGGUGGCACGGGAGCUGCAAGAGGGGCUGUGGUGGGGGGGGACAGGAGCUGAAAGAGGGGGGGCAGGGCAGGUUGGGCAUAGGGGCUGAGUGAGCGGGGGACGAGCUGAGUGAGGGGCAGAGGAGAUGAGAGAGAGAGAGGACAUGGGCUGUGGGGGACAGGGCUGAGAUAGGGGCACAUAGGCAUUGGUGGGGGCCCAGGGCUGAGAUGGGGCACAUGGGCAUUGGUGGGGGACACAGUGGCUGUGGUGGGGAGCACACGGGCCUGAGAGAGGGAACAGGGGCUGAGAGGGAGCAUAGAAGCUUUGGUGGGUGGCACGGGAGCUGCAAGAGGGGCUGUGGUGGGGGGGGACAGGAGCUGAAAGAGGGGGGGCAGGAGCUGAGAGAGGGGUCAGGGGCUGUGGUGUUGGGCAUAGGGGCUGAGUGAGCGGGGGACGAGCUUAGUGAGGGGCAGAGGAGAUGAGAGAGAGGACAUUGGCUGUGGGGGGCGGGCUGACAUAAGGGGCACAUGGGCAUUGGUGGGGGACCAGGGGCUGAGAGGGGGCACAUGGGCAUUGGUGGGGGACACAGUGGCUGUGGUGGGGAGCACAGGGCCUGAGAGAGGGAACAGGGGCUGUGGGGGGAGGCAUGAGCUGUUGAGGGGGGCAGGGGCUGUGGGGAGGGCAUAGGUGCUGUAGACGAGUACACAAUAUUGAGACAGGGGCUGCUGUAAAAAAAAUGGAUUUAAAGCAAAAAAAAUAAGUGUAUUCCUUACCUUGGGCCAAGGAGGAGUAGAACAGGAGCUGGACUCAGCAUACAGCAGCCUGGGAAGUUGGCCAGCCUGUUCUGAUGAUGUCAGGAGUAGGGGGCGUGACUUACACUGCUCCUCUCCCAGACUCCUCAGCGGUCUGGGAGAAGAGCAGUGGAAGUCAUGCCCCCUCCUCCUGACAUCAUAAGGAGGGGCUGGCUGACUCCAUUGGCUGCUGGCAGCAGGGAGAGAGAGGUUAAAGGACCACUAUAGUGCCAGGAAAACAUACUCGUUUUCCUGGCACUAUAGUGCCCUGAGGGUGCCCCCACCCUCAGGGACCCCCUCCCGCCCGGCUCUGGAAGGGGGAAAGGGGUAAAAACGUACCUUUUUCCAGCGCUGGGCGGGGAGCUCUCCUCCUGCGAUCCUCCUCUUCUCCUCCCAUGCGGCUGAAUGCGCACGCGCGGCAAGAGCUGCGCGCGCAUUCAGCCGGUCACAUAGGAAAGCAUUAUCAAUGCUUUCCUAUGGAUGCUUGCGUGCUCUCACUGUGAUUUUCACAGUGAGAAGCACGCAAGCGCCUCUAGCGGCUGUCAAUGAGACAGCCACUAGAGGAAUUGGGGGAAGGCUUAACCCAUUCAUAAACGAAUGGGUUAAGCCUAGCUGGACCUGGCACCCAGACCACUUCAUUAAGCUGAAGUGGUCUGGGUGCCUAGAGUGGUCCUUUAAGUUAAAAAAUCAGAGUCCCCAGCCAGAGGCAAGGGAUUCGGAUUUUUGCGCCCCCCUGCUCUGCGCCCUAAGGUGACCGCCUGUCCGCCCUAUGGGCUCACCUAGUACGUGAUCCAACUCUAACCUGUUUAUGCUUGUUUUUUAGCUUUACUGAAGAGCAAUCUUUUAUCUUGUGUGAAUUUUAACUUGGAAUUGCUCUUGUUUUUGAUGCUACACCUUUGUGCAGAUUACCCUGUGUGUUUUUGCCCAUACUAUACGCUUUUAAAUCUUUACAAAAAUAUAAGAUACACUACAGCUACACUUGUGUGUUAUAUAAUUUCAUGUCUUCUUUAUUUAAGUUUAAUAAAGAAGACAUCAAAUCAUCUGUGGCACAUGUCAGCACAGUUAAAGAGCGGAUUGACUUGUGAGCAUUAAAAAGAAACAAGCUAUCAGAGUGUAAGUAAUAAUUGAAAGUAAUAUUUCACCACAGGAGGUCAACGAGAAGAAAUAAACUGCAAAGUAAACAGAUACUAGCCACCUACCGGAAGAAAAAGAGGGAAUAGCAAUUUAAUAAUAAAGAAAGGUGAAGAAUCAAAAUAAGUCAGAAAAAAAAUCAAAUAAGUGAAAGAAGGAGAAAGAGACAGAAUAAUGUGGGGAAAGAAGAGUUAAGGACAAUUAAUUUCACUAUAGAAGGAAAAAGAGAGAGACUAAUGUGGGAGUGACAAAGGUUUGGAGCAAUAAACCCCACCAAAGAAGGAGAAAGAGACAUAGUAGUGUGGGGAAAGAAUAAGGUUUAGCUCAAUAAACCCCACUAUAGAAAACUUAGAUAUCCCCUUCCAAAGAAAAAUACGACCAGGUCAGUGCCAAUGUCCUGUCAAAUAAUGUUGGAGUAACCAGAGAACUGUGAAAGAACUGCUAUUCAAUUACCCCCCUAAGGACACAGCAUCAGAAACUGUCUUUCAGUUAAAGGGACACUAAUGGGCACCCAGACCACUUUAUAUCAUUGAAGUGCUCUGGGUGCAGUGUCACUGUCCAACUUAGUCGUGCAAUGUAAAACACUGCAUUAGGAUGUCCUGUGAAAGAGAGAACUCCAUAGGAAAGUAUUGCCUCAAUGCUAAAGUGCAUGCGCGGUGAGCACCGCACGUGCAAAAGGGAAAGCCUAAUGCAUGCGCAACACUCACUGCAUAUGCACUUUAGUUUCCCUCAUCGGCUGACAUCGGCAGAGGCGGAGCACAACCCAGCACCGAAGGACAUCGGCACCGGAAUAAAGAGUUAUUUAACCUUUUACAUUGCUGGGGGGAGCUGCGGUAGCUGAGGAACACCUUAGUCUUUGUUUUCCUAACACUAAAGUGUUCCUUUAAAGACACAAGCUAUUUUUUUCCAUUUUGUUGCUGUUUGUGUUUAACUGCAAUUUGAAUUAUUAUAGCAGGUUGCUAAUUGGCAUUACCCCACAAAGGCCUACCAUUAAAGAAGACAUACCAGGGUAUUUCAAAAGGCAAAUUUUUAACCUUCGCGUGGGAUAAUUUUUUCCGCUUGUUUGAAACAUAUUGUCAGGAUGUUGAGACCCAACAUGGAGAGUGUAUACUGAUUUGCAAUAAAUAAGGUAUAUUGUUCUUAUGGAGGUUGGCCUUUAAGAAAGUAAACCAAGGAUAGUCAGGAACAAGUCAGAUAAAGGGAAACCAUAAUUCAGAAAUCACGAAUGAUAAAACCCCACUCAGGGAUUACAUGAAGGAGAAUAGUCAAUGAAAGUCGAGAUCAGAACCAGAAAUAUGUAAUACAGAAAUAUAACUCACUCUAUAACGAGGAACUAUAAAGAACCCAAUGAGACAUAGAGCCAAGCUCUAACAAAAUAUUUAUAGUGUGACUCCUUAAUUAAGUAGCGAAGCUCCCAAAAGGUGCAGGAAUGCCUAAAUUGAAGUUGUGUGACGUAAUUUGCGUCAUGACUUUGGCAUACAAGCAGCACGUCAUAAAAGGAGGCAAAGUGUCACGGGUGGCGGUACGUAGACUCAGCAUGGAUAUGGACAUUCAGGGCCUCGUGCAGGGUAACCACACGCCCCCUAGUGUUGAGCACCAGCAUUUGUGUGGCUACAUACCAGGGCCCUGAUGCAGCUUCUGUGGAUCCCAGGUGCUUGAUGAUAUGCAGUCCUCCCAGGAACUGGAUAGGGAGGUUCUGCAGCAGAAAUGUAUCCAGUACAGGCACCAAACAAGAUAACAAGACAAGAUUAGAAGAACCCAGAACCGGAGCAGGACAGAAAGCAGAACCCAGAACAUCUACACAAGACAUGAGGGAAACAUGAACAGGGCAGGACAGGACUGUACAUGAAAUGGGAAUAUAAGACAAAAUAAAACAAGACAAGAGAUACAAGGCAAAACAAGAGGAGACAUAACUAAGUACUAUAUAUGUAAAACAUUGGACAUUUCGACAUACAUACAUGGCCAAGAUGUAUGCAGCCCACCAUGCGCCAAAGUACUCUAUUACGGUGGGUCCUAACUGCCUAGAUAUGCAUGACCAACUAAACAAUAAUAAAACACACACAGUACUUACCUGUAAAGAAAGGAGCAGAGGUAAUGAAAUCACUGCCUGCAGGACCAGACUGAAACAAAAAAGGAUUAAAUGGCAAAGGAAAGAGUGUGGCAACAAAAAAAACAUUUAAAGGAAACCAGGAGACUGGGAAUUCCAGGAACGGAAUAAAGGAAUGAGCCCAGAAAACCCAGCAUAAAGAAAAACAGAAAAACUAAACAAGAAUUGUAAAAAGAAUACUGGAUACCAGAGGUCAAGGCCAGACAUCUCCGCAGAACAGAACAGGAUGUGACACAAAGUAGCAGCCGACGUUUAGAACUAUGGAGAAAUUGUCAGAGACCUUAGAGAGGUUAUAGAUGUAUAUAAGACCUCAGAAGGGCUUGUCUGAACCCAGGGAGUCCAUGCCACAAGUGUAGUAGUAAUAAGUAUUUUUGUCUGCCCUUUUUGACACACACUUAGAUUUCACUGUAUAUUUUACCUUAUGUGUGCUACGGCAGUAUCACACUCAGCUUUGUUGUCUGAGUGCAGCAAUACCCCCGUGUGUAUGUUUGCCAGGUAUAUAUGCGAAUGUUGAAGGGGCUAAUUUGAGACACAGCCAUUUCAGGUUUUUUUUCAAACUUUGAAUUUUGAAGCUGGGUCCAUGUCCGGUUUUGGAGCAUUUUAGCUGGUUGCUACUUCAAACUACCCACAACGGCCUACCAUUUCUAGUAGAUACCCAGGAUACAUGUGGAUGUUGCAAGGGAAAGUUUCAGACAUACUAAUUUCAUUUUUUUCCAAAAGUUGAUGCUUUGUCUAUGUCUCAUUUUAGAGUAUUUUAGCAGCUUGUGAUUGCAAAUUACCUCUCAAAGGAAGCAUCUAUUAAGUAUAAGUAGCUCAUCAAUUCAAAUUAUGAACAAGAAAACCACCGACACCAGCUAACUAAAUCCCAAUGUAAACAUAUUAACAUAAAUAAUUUAAUAAAUGUAACUCCUGAGAGUUAAAAAAAAUAAAAAUAAAAAAAGGGUAGAAUAAAAUCAGUGCCCUUUGAGGUGUUUAAAUUGCUAAGUUUUCAAAGUAUCAAUAACUCCUCAUCAGUAGGAUUGUGAUCACUAAAGCAUGAAUAUUUAACAUAAGGUAAUGCUUCCUUUUAUAUAGAUACGAUAAUGGUAAAAUUGUUGUCAAAAAGUGUUAAAAUGGUGGAACUCAGAUUGCAUCAACAUCAUUAAUGGCUCAUCAGCAGCAAUAUUAACAUGUCACUAAAUAUUGGAUAUGAGAUUGUUGUACAGUAAGAAUACAUUAACAUAUUCUUGUUUCUGAGCAUUCCCACAGAAAUAAGACUUGGAGAUUAAUUUUGUGCCAUUCGACUCAUCAAUCAAAUUCCGAGCCGAGGUGUACCGGAAUCACAAACCACCUGAAACAUGAAAUGCCAAGCAUUUUUGGUUCAGUAUCAUGGUUCUAGAUUCCACUCACAGUGCCAAAAAAAAAAGAGAUGAUUGAUUCAGACAAACAAAGAAAAUAAUUGAUGGCUAUGGGUCAGUCACUUAAUGUUGAUUUUAUUGACAGUUCAAGCAAAAGCAGUAAAUAAAUAAAUAUAUAGUUAUAUAUUAUAUACUUAAAUGGACACUAUAGUCACCAGAACCACUACAGCAUAAUUUAGUGGUUAUGGUAUCUAUAGCCUCUUCCUGCAGGCUUUUCAAUGAAAACGCUGUCUUUUCAGACAAAAAAGGCAUUAGUUACAUUGCUGGCUAGUAACACCUCUAGUGGCCUCACUCAGACGGCCACUAGAGGUGCUUCCUAUUUCAGUGCUGUACAGUGUGCAGCACCUACAUUCAGAGUCUCCACACUCUGCAUGGAGGUGCUGAACGUGCUCCAUAGAGAUAGUGAUUCAGUCCGCGCAACGUGGUGUUUUGUCGCACAUGUACAAUAGCUUUCCAAUGAUUUCCUAUGGGAACGAUUGGAUAAGAACGUCCAAACUGAUGAUCAAAGUGAAGGAGGUGAAGCCAGACAGGGCAUGUCGUGGCAUGGGAGAAAAGGUGAGCAAAAUUACCUUUUCAGCGUGACUGCAUCAGGGUCACCUAAACAGCCAAACCAGCACUAAACUGUCAGGAAUACAUGUUUUUGUUCCUGACACUAUAGUGUUCCUUUAAUAAACAUAUAAUAUAUAAAUAUAGAUUUCUUUUACUGCUCCUCCUGAUUUCUCCUCUAUUGUUUACGUUUUCUUACUUGUGAACCAAAUGGUGGGAAAAAUGUUCCUACCAUUGUGCUUCAAAAUAUAUGCAUAACAUGAGGGGGUGUGGCCAACAGCGAAACAGAGCGACGUCUCUUAACUGAGCUCCGCUAAGGCCUAAGAUAAGCAACAAUAAGCCACGAACAACGCAGAGACACAGCCCAAGACACGACUAUCCCCUCAACAGAGACUAUGGGGAGAAAAAAUAAGAAGGCUCACAGACCUACCGGUCCCCGCCAGCCAGACAUCAGAACCUCCUUUGAGAGGCCGGCGAAAACGCAGUCCACAAAGAUGGCGCCCGGGGCCCGCUGCACACACGAGGCAUCAGAGGCCUUGCUGGACGAGGUAGACUCCAUUCCCUCCCCCCGAUCAGACACCCCGUCCUGCCAGUCAGAGUCAGAAGAGGACGAGACACCCUCUACAAAAGGGGACAUUAAAAGGCUCCUGACGGAACUGAGAACACUCUGGGUAGCGAACCUUUAGAAAGUUCAAACAGAAGUGGAGGAGGUACACCACAGAGUCCAAGCGCUGGAACAGCGUGAAGCAACCAGAGAACACACCAGGCAAACCACAGAUAUUUGCCUGGCCAAGUUAACCUCUCAGGUGCAGCAGCUAAAACGCACAGUGACCGCAAUAGAGGCACGGCAUAGGCGAAAAAACCUCCGUCUCAGUGGGGUCCCGGAGACGGUAACCGACGAGCAGCUUCAACCCUACAUAAAUACACUAAUGACAACCAUGGACGCGGGUGGCAAAGGCGACAAGCAACGGAUCACCACGGCUUUCCGCGUGCGGAAGUCAGCGGCAGCCCCGAGCGACGCACCCAGAGACAUCAUCAUGCUGACCCAAGACAUAACAGCAAGGUCGGCGAUUAUGUCAAGAUCCAGGGAAAUGGAAGAUAUCAUUCACGAAGGACACAAAGUGGCAAUAUUCCCUGACAUACCAUUUGCAGUCCUUGCAGAAAAAAGAAAACUAGCACCCAUUGCCAGAAAACUGAGAGACUCAGGCAUAAAGUACCGCUGGGGAAUGGAGGGCUACCUCCUAACAGAAAUAGGGGGAGAGAGCUUGGAACUAACUUCAGAGGACUAUCCGGAGGCCUUCAUGCAAAAAGUGGGUUUCUCCACCCGGCUAACACAAGGACUCUCUUCACCUACCAAAAGACCCGAGACAACAGAAGACCCCAUCGAUGCUGACAAAGCAUGAAGCAGACUGCAGAAUUUUAAAGUCAAGAGGCUGACUCCAGCUCCAAGAGCCACAGAGGCGCAACCACCUGCAGGCAAAAAACACCGAACACAGACCCGGACCAACAGGGAAUCCCUCUGGUAAACCGGACUAAUGUAUGGACAUACCUAUGGCACUGUAAUGAACUGGUUAACAUAACCCCAACAACUAAUCACUCUCCCGGCACAGUCACCCACACCCAGACCCGCUAGAUAGCCAUGCCGCGACAAUACAGCAACUUCACAAGACAUCCCUUACCGAGACCAGGAUGCCGGUAUACCUAUAUAUCCACACACUUAUAUACACCACAGCGGCAACAGUAGCCCCAGAUAAAGGGACACUAGUCACCUGAACAACUUUAGCUUAAUGAAGCAGAUUUGGUGUAUAGAACAUGCCCCUGCAGCCUCACUGCUCAAUCCUCUGCCAUUUAGGAGUUAAAUCCCUUUGUUUAUGAACCCUAGUCACACCUACCUGCAUGUGACUUGCACAGCCUUCCAUAAAUACUUCCUGUAAAGAGAGCCCUAUUUAGGCUUUCUUUAUUGCAAGUUCUGUUUAAUUAAGAUUUUCUUAUCCCCUGCUAUGUUAAUAGCUUGCUAGACCCUGCAAGAGCCUCCUGUAUGUGAUUAAGGUUCAAUUUAGAGAUUGAGAUACAAUUAUUCAAGGUAAAUUCCAUCUGUUUAAAAGUGAAACCAGUUUUUUUUUCAUGCAGGCUCUCUCAAUCAUAGCCAGGGGAGGUGUGGCUAGGGCUGCAUAAACAGAAACAAAGUGAUUUAACUCCUAAAUGACAGUGAAUUGAGCAGUGAAAUUGCAGGGGAAUGAUCUAUACACUAAAACUGUUUUAUUUAGCUAAAGUAAUUUAGGUGACUAUAGUGUUCCUUUAAGGCCACCAAGAUGGCAAUUCUAUUGUUACUGUAUCUAAUUGCAUAAUUGUUAAUGUUGAUUUCAACCUAAUAAAAAAUACAAAUUAAAAAAAAUAUAUAUAUAUACACAUAACAUUAUAUUCUGUAUAUGUUUUGCAGCACACUGAUUGGCCCGUUUUUGUGGUCUAUUUUGUUCGUCUGAUUUGGUUUCCGAAAUUCUCCUGAACUGAACCAACAUUCAACCAAAAUUCCAUUUUAUAAUAGAAUUUUAUAUUUAACAUGAAUUAUUUUCAUUUGACAUUAUUAAAGCCCAAGGGGAUUUAUUUCCUCUUUAAAGUUGUAUUGAAUAUUUAUUACUGGAAAUACAAUCCAUUUGCUCUCAGCAACGUCCAUGUUGGUAAGGAUUAUUGAAAAAUAGGCCUCCUUAUUUUUGGUGCAGACGGAAAGGAUGCCGAAGUCAUGCUAAUUUGUAGCUUUCUUGACCGAAUGACAUCCAUAAAAUCAGUGACAGAUGUGUGGCCUCAAUGCUAAAAUCAGCUAUGCAUACCAUAGUUGGUGAAAAUGUCAACCUUUCAUCUAAAAUCAAACUACAUGAAUUUUGGAUGAAUGGGUUCAUUAAUAAGUCAUUAUACAACUUACCAUAAAAGCAAAUGGCAAACAUUGAUACUACAGGCGCUGUAAAUAAUUCCCUGCCACAUUGCCAGAAACUGAAUUAGCUUCUAAUGCAGUGACUGUCCUUCCCGGUUUCUGACAAAAUGCAUUAAUUUUUAAUAAGCAAAUCUCAUUCUUAGAAAGAAAAAACCUACUGACCCAACCAGAGGUAUACUGAUUAAUGUGACGGCCAUAAAACAACACUUAUGGGCAAGAGGAACAGUCAAAUAGUAGUCCAGUGAAGCUAAACUUGAGAGUACUUCAAUUCCCAUACUGCUUGUGGCAAGUUUGUCCUAAUAACAGAUUUAUGAAGGGAAAGCCCUAUUUUCAUGACCAUUCCCCUUUAACUAUAUCACAAAAUCCAGUAAACGUGUAACAGCAUUAAGAUGCUCCUGAAGUGCUCUACUCUAUAACACACUGAAGGGUUCACUUGUAUGCUGGCAUACAAACGUGACUAUGAUGUGAUAAACAGUCCUCUGCUAGUUUAUGUUUGAUAAAGGUCUCUAUUAGCUUCCCUAAAAAUCAAUGAUGGACCAUGCAUGGUUUUGCCCUUUAAGGAAAUACAUUCUGAAAUACAAUGUUAUGCAUAUAUAAUAUAGUCCUUUAAAGAGCUUCCAUUGUUCAAUACUAAGGAGAUGCCAUGCUAGCCUUUAGUCAUUUGGAACAGAUAGGGAUAAAAUAAAGAACGUGAUUAUUCAAUAAGCUGAAGUUUCAGAUUCUGUGGUCAGAAAUUAUUGGGGAAAUGACAUUGUGAGCAGCAGGGUUCUUCUGCUCUCCCAUCACUCAAUCUGCAGCAUCAGCAUCUAUGCCACUGGAAUCUUUGUCAAAGAUUGAUUGACAUGUGAGGACUGGCCAAAAUGUUAAAAGUACAUCAAUUAAAAUCUAGAAAAAGGCAAAGAUUAAACCUGAAUUUAAUGAUUUUAGAACAUAGGCCAUGUAUGUGUCACGGUGCCGUGGGGUUCUGUUGGCGUGGCCGCACAGAAACACAGCGGUCACAUCGACAGAAAUAAUAAAUACUUAUCUUACCCACGGCACACCACUACCAGACCUCCCUCCGUCCAGGUCCCCAGUGUGUGCGGCGUUCCUAGAAACGCCGGCCACUGCGGUUCUGGUUUUAAUGGGGAUAUAGCCUUUGCCCACAUUAAAGAUGGCGCUUACGUGCGUGCGACGUCAUGUCAUAGACGUGCACGCACGUUUUGGGGUCAGAGGCCACAUACAGGCAAUUACAGCUUUAGGAGAGUUAUUUAAGCCCAUAUUGUCUUUUGAUCAGUGCCCUGUAGUGGUUUCCUUUUGCUGGUUUUUGACUUUGGCUUCAUUUUGACUUCCUUGAUUUCUGGUAUCCUUGACUUUUGGCUUUCCCUCAUCGUUGUGUCUCAUUCUGUAUCCCUGACCUCGGCAAGUAUUUUGACUAUUCUUGGGUACGUUAAGUCCGGCCAUUCUAAGGUCCGGUUAGACAUUAUCCUUAGUCCUAGGUGUGAUACCAUUUCUGUGUGCUGGAGUAACCAGUAAUCCUGACAGUACGUCCCUUUAAUUCUGUCAAUGUAAAGUAUAGUCAUUGCAGAGACAUGGCAGUGCUUACAUCUGUCUAAGACUUGCUGUAGGCAUACUUCCUCAUAACGACCUUUAAAAACUAAAAUAAUAUUCCACAAAAUCCAUAUGACUACUUGCAAAAAUAUAUACAAUGGUCAUACAUAUAGAUUGUAGCAAAUUCAAUUAUAGAUACAGGUUUUGUUUUACUUAAGGACUUGCUGUUCUCUGUGAAGGAACCAACACCCUGAUAAUAGUGGAACUGAUCUUCCCACAUGAAACAGUUUACAUUUCUACCGUCAUUAAUAAUAUUGUUUUUCCUUAAUGAUAUCUGGUUUAACUGUAUGUUAACCAAAACAAAUAUAUUUACAUCCUUUAAUCCCUCUUCUGCUGGAGGGAUAAUCUGUUACAACAUGAUUUGUAUCCAAUUAACCCAUAUCCUGCAUGCCUUUUAUUUAAAUUACAUCAUAACAAUAUCCCAGAGUUCUCUUGCAGCCAGCUGUUUAUAGACUACUUUUCUUAAACUACGUUUCUCAGAAUUUUCUGUAACCCAGCUGUUGGAAGUAUCUUUCCCAGAAUUAUCUGCCAGCCAAUGGAAUUAUCUGCCAACAGCUGCUGUUUGCUCCAUUUCUUGGAAUUCACUCCAUGUGAGCACUAUCUCUUCGCAGGGCAAGUUGACCAAAUAUCCCUUCUGCACACCUUUUUUUUUUCUGACCCAAGACUUACCUGUAGAGAAGAAUCUCUGCUGAAAUAAGAGGACAAAAUUAAGCAUUAUCACUUUUACUUUUACUUUUACUAAUACUUCAACAGAAAUUGGAGCAAAAUAAUUGACAACUAAUUCAAUUAGCCUAUGAAUGUAAAUGUCCGGUACUGUAUGAAUGAAACAGUGCUACAGUUUCUUAAGUGUUACAGUCACUGAAUCCUGAUACUGUUUGAAAACCAAGUCAAAAUAUCUACAUAUGGAGGUUGUACACUGUAAUCUAUAAACAGGAGAUGGAAAGUGUCCAAUGUUUGAUGUCCAUAUGUUUGAAAUACACUCAGUGAAAAAUGACAAUUUUAUAGGAACAGUUGAGAUAAAGUACUGAAAAGGAAAACAUAAAGUAACUAUUUACUAAAUUAGGGAUAGAAUCAAAUAAAAACCAUUAUUCUUGGAUUCAAAAAACAAUGCUUACACUUCACCAAAAGUUUCAGUUGUGUCAUUGGCAAACAAAACUACAGACACCUACAGUUGGAAUUAGAAAAUGUCAUAAAUAUCUCAUUUUAUGCACAAGUAGAGUGUUAUGUCAAUGAGAAAAGCUACAGGGCUUUUUGAGGCUUUGUUUUUCUUCACUUGUACAAAAGAGCCAGCUAAUAAAGACCAAGGUAUUACAAUACUUUUAAAAUUAUUGAUUUAACAAAAAGGGGGCUCAAUGCCCAUGAAGGAUACGCUUCCUGGCUAGACCACUGCAGUGCAGGGCCACUUCUUAUUCUGACAGCAUAAGCUGAUCACAAUCAUACAUUGAGCUAGCCCAGCACCAACAGGCUUAAAGGAACACCAAGCCUGGGAUUGUUUUCAAGGAUGGAGUAAUUCUUGGAGCAGAUACCAGAGCAACUGAAUGAAUGAUUGUAGCUGACAAUACAAAUACAAACAUGUAUUCCUGACCCUAUAGUGUUAAAAACACUAUUAUCCCCCACCCCCUGUCCCUCCCUUGCCCUAUAUAUAUAGUAAAAUUUUACCUUUAUUCCAGUCUGCUAGUACUGGCUCUGCCUCUGAUCUGCCUCCUUGGCUGACAUCAUCAGAAGUUGUGAUCUCAACCAAUUGCAAUACUUUCCCAUAGGAAAGCAUUGGAUUGGCGGAGAUUGUCAAUGAGGCAGAUCAGGGUCAGAGCCAGCACAAGUCAAACACAGCCAUGGCCAAUCAGCAUCUCCUCAUAGAGAUACACUGAAUAAAUGCAUCUCUAUGAGGAAAGUUCAGUGUCUCCAUGCAGAGGAUGGACACACUGAAUGACAGUGCUGCACACUGUGCAGCAAUGCCCCAGGAAGCAUCUCUAGUAGCUAUCUGAGGAGUAGCCAGAGGAGGUGUCCCUAGGCUGUAAUGUAAACACUGCCUUUUCUCUGACAAGACAGUGUUUACUGCAACACACCUGCAGGGAUUGACUUUACUUAGCAGAACAAAUACAUUAAGCUGUAGUUGUUUUGGUGACUAUAGUGUCCCUUUAACUCAGGCUAACAGCUUCCGGUUCCUGGCAGACCCCAUGUAAGAAGUCAAAGCAUUCUAAAACGGGUUGCCACAGCACUCCUGGCACCAUAACCACUUCAUUGCUCUGUGGUGCUUAUGGUGAUUGAAAUGUUCCUUUGAAGAAACAUGUGAGCAUAUCAAGGUCAAUUUGGAACAUCACGGGUUAAUGACAUAUCAUUCAACAAGCACACUAUAAGGCAAACAGAUCAGAUCAUUUGAAGAUGGAUCCAUGUGGUUUGUCAUUAACAAUAUCUUGUCGGAGUAUCAGUUUUUAAAACAUGUAGUUAACAAUGACUAAAAUUAAGACUGCUUUUAAGUCAAUAAAAAUGGAGAGAGGAGGCACACUCAAUCCCAGUAAACACCAGGUGCACUGGAGCAAGACCAGCAAUCCCACAACGAUCAGGCAGACAAAAAAAAAAUCUCCAGGCACUCAAGGUGUUCAAGUUGCAGGCAUUUUCGUUUUGUCUUCCUGCUUUUAAGUCAAUAACAAUUUUUUACUUUUGCUGCACUGCCAGUAGAAACUUGUAACAUUUUUGGAUUUUAACAUGCAAUUUCAACCAAAGUUUAAAAAUGUUGUCAAUGGCAUACCAAGACUGGAUUGUGAUCAAGGCCAAACUUUUUUUUUUUUUUUCCAGUUCAAACUGGCACUUGGUCAAGAUACUGAAAUCAUUCAUAUCUGACCAAUAUCACAGGGCAAAAAAUGAACCAAAACUGUCAAAUGACAAAAAAUUGAAUUAUUGGUAAUUAUUUAAAACCCAAUGUAAAGUGUACAUAUCAUAAGCCUGAUUCUAGUAAAUGUCAGCAAAACAGAGCCCUACUCUGUUGUUAUUUGUCACCCACUUUAUUUGACUCAAGGGAUAACGGUAAUAUUUUUAAUAAAUCCCUCCCAAACUAACACCAUUCAAAACACAAAAAUCUUCCCAAGUUUGAUCUGUCAUUGCAAAUUUUUCUGGAUCGAAUUUUGUGGAAUGAGGGUUAUAAUUUUGGUUACUAUUGAUAUUCUGUAAUGUUUUGGUGAAUAGUUUUUUUUUGCUGUGCUGAGAUGUUUGGUUGAAAAAAAUGUUCCGUAUUAUAGUUCUGACUGCUAUAAUGGAAAACUAUCCAGUGUUCUAGAGCAGAGGUCCCUAACUUUGUCCUCAUGGACCACCAACAGUCCAGGUUUUGCCAGGAUCUCAAUUUGAAUAAAAAAGGGAAAUACAUAAAUCCUGGAGGGUAGGUGGUCCAUGAGGGCCGGGUUGGGGACCACUGUUCUAGAGCAGGCUAGUGGUUCCAGUGAUGCAUUUUUCAUGACUGCUUGAACUUCUAAACUGCUUCAUGAAAGCCACUAGACAUGUUUUAUCCUAAACUAGACUGCCCUUUCGCACCUUGAUGGAGAUUAGAUUGUGGGACAUUAGAGCAAAACACUGUCUACAUUUACAAAAUGUAACACCGUUUUUCUCUACCAUUUUCCACAAAAUCUGAUUCUUCUGCAUAAUAGCUAACUGGAUAAUAAAUUAGAGGCAGAAUUGUCAUCUCUAUUAUGCAUUUAGGGCUCAUUCUCAUGCAUGUCAUUAACAUGCAGCCAUUAAAUUUACACUGUCUUAAUUCCAUAUCUGACCCUUCGCUCCCCUUCCGCGAUCCCAUUAAAGAGGUGGAUGUUACACUUUUGUAACACCCACCUCCGGUCUGCCUACACUUCUCCUCUGGUCUCUGUUGAUUUGCCCUGUUUGGGGACACUUCUCCAAGCAUGGCAAACCUCCUCCAUGGCUUAGUUCCCAUCAUGCCGGCAUCAGAACACGUCACUCUGUUCCUAUACUCCCUAGCCAGCGCUAGCAGCGCCAGCUAGGGAGUUACAAUAGCAGCCACAGUGCACGUGCUGUGGUUGCUAUGGGUGGAGAGAGCAAAGGUGCUUCAUGUGAGAGGUCUCUUCUGCUCUCUACUUCUCGGCCCUGAGUGUCUGCCAAGGAAUUGAGAGUCAGAUGGGAGAAAAAAUAUUUUUAAAUGGGUUUUUCUCCAAAUCUAUACUUUUGCUAGCAAAACUGCUAGCACAAUGUAUAGAUAAAGUUGUAAGCUCUUUUAAAAGAGCUAAAUUUAAUUAUAGCAUGACAUGUUCUCUUUCAGCAAUACCAACCAGUAGAUGUUUCCUUGGACCAUCCCUUCUGUUAAUAUUUUUAUGAUACUCAAUGUCUGUCUCAAUUAUUAUGGAUGAAAAACUAUACAGACUAUAACCACUAAAUCAAAAUAGAAAACCUACUAAAUACUGUACCCACAAGCACAAAAAAAAAAAAUUUAAACCAUAUAUAAAACAUACAUAGUGUAAGAAUUCAAAUCAUACAAAAAGUUACACCUUCAAAAUGAGAAAAACAAAACUAAAAUACAACCUUAUUCCACAGAAAAUAUAAUAACAAAUGAUACCUAGAAAAAUAAACUGAACAUGGUGUAAUCUGCUAGACCAAGGGUUGUGGGAAAAACUCACAAGAACAAGAUGUAAUAUUGGCUCAUCACCCCUAGAAAGGAUAUAUGUAGAUGUAGGUUCUUCACUCUUGAAUAUGGGUCUUCAUAGACAUGGAAUAAACAUAAAGAGAAUAUAGUGCAGAUUGAAUGUACAAAAUGUAUUAUGGUGAAAAUUUCACUUACAAGAUAGUCGGAAAUACGGGAAUAUCUCCACUCCGAGUAAAUCAAGACGAGGAUCCUGAACUGAAUGUGAUCCCAAACGUAAGGGAGAGAAUUUCAUAAAAUAGUAGCCAAACAAUAGAAUAAAAACACAACAAAGAACAAUAAAAAUCAAAUAAAACGUCCCAAGGGGUUAAGUAGUUUUUUCCACGUUUCAUCCUAUUAACUUCCUCAGUUGGCCCCUAAUUGGUAUUGCAGUAGGUGAUUUCAUUCUGAGUCGGCACCCCCCCACCCCCUCCCAAAAGUGCAAUUUUACAUUUUACAAGGCCACUUAAAAUCACCUAUCUUGGGGGGGCGGAGCCUGACCAUCGAGUGGAGCAGACAUGCGGUGCUUGGGCUCCUGCAUGUUAGGCCGAAUUGAGGGGUUUUAGCCGGCUUUCCACAUGGUGGAACAUAUUUGUUUGCUUAGAUAGGUGAUUUUAAAUAGCCUUGUAACAUUUAAUCUUUGGUUUUGUGUGUGCGCUGUUCCUUUAAAUGUAUUUUAUAUAGAUUUUGAUCUUUACAGAAGCACCGUUGCUUAGAAAUGCAUGUUCUGAGUGUGCCCCAAAUUAAUUUUUUUUUUUUUUUACCUCCAUGCACUAUAACAACUUAAUUCAAGUUUAGUUGUUAUGGUGCACAGAGUGUUCCGUCAAAGUGUCAUUUUAGUCAGACAAUGACAGAUAGUAACUCUUUACAAUUUAGUAUGAAAAAACAGGUAUUACUUAGUGUUCCCUAUUAUUCUUUAUUGGAGACAUGAAACAUUUCUGCAGUAGGUAAUUACGAUUAAAUCAUUAAAAAUUAAGUUUUGCAACAUGGAAAUGGACCGUAAUUGCUAAAGAUAGCAACAGCCAUUUUAACAAUUACAGACUUGCCAGUAAAUUAUUGCAACAAGCAUAGAAACAAGCUCUUACUGGGCAGCAGCCUCAAAUGUGUUAAUUUAUGGAGUAUUACACAAUUUUAAGCAGGGUUCCGAGAACAGAACAGUAAGCUCAUCUUUCCUAAAUUAGAUGUUAUUGUGAGCCACCAGCAAACGCAUGGACAUUGAGUGCAUAAUGUUUUGUGCGUGAACAUAAAUCUAAAUUACAAUGAAUUUAUGUGGCUCAAAAUUUUUUUAAAUUAAUAAAUACCACUCACUAACCGAUAAUGCCGCACUAAAUGACAAAACCAGGCCCGGACUGGCCAUCGGGCACACCGGGCAAAUGCCCGGUGGGCCGCGGUGGCCAUGGGCCGAGGCCGGCAGGGGAGAUCACAGGAUCUCCCCUGCCGGUCUAUGCAGGGCCGGCACUCUCCUAGCGCCGGCCCCGCUGUUUGUCACAACGGGCCGGUGGGGGGAUCAAGGAUCUCCCUGACCGGCCCACAUGCGGCCGCCGGCGGGGAGGGAGGGAGGGAGGGAGACAGCCAGCUAGGCUGGAGAGAGGACCCGGCGGAGCUCUAACUUGCAGCUCCGCCGGGUUCCUCUCGCGAGAUCCGGCGCGUUGCCAUGGCAACGACCGGAUCUCGCGAGAGUGAACUCUAGCCUCACAGGCUAGAGUUCACUCACCCACGAGGACCACCAGGGAACACCGCGUGCCGGACCCCCCCUCCCAGGCUAAAGGUAAGAAGGGAGGGGGGGAAAUAAUGACUUUUUUUUAUUUUUAUUUUUUUUAUUUACCCCCCCUACACACACACACAAUAACAUUUAUACAGCACUCUCACACCCAUCACACACAGCACUCUCUCCCACAUCACACACAGCACUCUCUCCCACAGCACUCUCACACCCAUCACACACAGCACUCUCUCCCACAGCACUCUCUCCCACAGCACUCUCACACCCAUCACACACAGCACUCUCACACAGCACUCUCACACAGCACUCUCACCCAUAGCACUCUCUCACACAGCACUCUCACCCAUAGCACUCUCUCCCACAGCACUCUCACACCCAUCACACACAGCACUCUCUCCCACAGCACUCUCACACCCAUCACACACAGCACUCUCUCCCACAGCACUCUCACACCCAUCACACACAGCACUCUCUCACACAGCACUCUCACAGCACUCUCUCACACAGCACUCUCACACAGCACUCUCACACACAGCACUCUCACCCAUCACACACAGCACUCUCACACACAUUACACACAGCACUCUCUCACACCCAGCACUCACACCCAGCACUCUCACAACCAGCACUCUCACACCAUCACACACAGCGCACUCUCACAGAGCACUCACACACACACAGCACUCUCACACCCAUCACACACAGCACUUUCACACACACACAGCACUCUCUCACAGCACUCUCACAGAGCACUCUCUCACACCCAUCUCACACAGCACUCUCACACCCAUCACUCACACACGGCACUCUCACACCCAUCACUCACACACGGCACUCUCACACCCAUCACUCACACCGCACCCUCACACACACACAUACACCGCACCCUCACACACACACAUACACCGCACCCUCACACACACAUACACCGCACCCUCACAUACACACAGAACCCCCCCAACACACUGCACCACACACAUACACAAUACUUCCAAAUAUAUAUAUAUAUAUAUAUAUAUAUAUAUAUAUAUAUAUACAUACACACACACACUACACUCUUAAAGGACCACUCUAGCCACCCAGACCACUUCAGCUUAAUUUAGUGGUCUUGGUGCCAGGUNNNNNNNNNNNNNNNNNNNNNNNNNNNNNNNNNNNNNNNNNNNNNNNNNNNNNNNNNNNNNNNNNNNNNNNNNNNNNNNNNNNNNNNNNNNNNNNNNNNNAAAAAGGAGCUGAAUGUUAAAAGAUAUAAAAUAAAAAUAAAAAUUAUUAUUAUUUUACUUUAAGUGAUUUUAUAAUAAUUCAUUGUAUGUGUUUUACAGGAGUUUCUAAAUAAAUUCAUGAUAAGCAUUAUGGUAAUUUCUAUAGAAUAGCAUGUGAAUGAUUGUUAAACCUGGUGAUGAACAUGGGAAUGUCAGAAUGAGUCGUGGAGAUUUGGGGUUUGGUUUCUAAAAUUUGUGAACGUGAUAUUUCUGUGGUUUUGAUAAUAGCUUUAUUGGGUAUGUUUUCAGAGUAGCCUUUAGCUUUAAAUUGAGACUUCAUUUCUUAUUUUUGAUGAGUAAAAAUAUAAGGUUCUGAACAAUUUCGUUUGAUUCAUCGAAAUUGGCUAAAUGGUAUGUUUAGCCAAGUAGAUUUAGGAAAACUGUUAUGGGGGAUAAAGCUAUUGCAGGCAACUGUCUUUCUAAAUGUUUUAGUUUCUAUCUUGUUGUUUUGAAUGUAGAUUUCCAAAUCGAAAAAUUCCAACUUUUCUUUAGAUUGAUUAAAAGUAAACUAAAGGUUAUACAGGUUAAAAUUAAGAUAUUGUUUAAAAGAAUCCAAUGAUAAAAUGUCUCCUCUCCAAAUAAAAAUACAGUCAUCUAUGUAAUGUUGCCAUAGGACCAGAUUUGUGCCAAAUGGGUGGUCAAUCCAAAUAAAUUCAUCCUCCCAUUUUCCCAUAAAGAGAUUGGUGUAACUUGGCGCAAAUCUGGUUCCCAUGGCAUUACCCUCUAUGUGUACGUAGUGCUGGUUGUUCACCCCCAAAAAAUUAUGACUAAGAAUAAAUGCCACACAAUUUACUAUAUAGUCUACUUGAUCAUUCUUCAAUUCUGAAAAAGUGGCGAGUGCAUAAUGUAUUGCCUCGCAGCCCUGUAGAUGCUCUAUAACUGUGUAUAACGAUGUAACAUCUGCUGUGACUAGAGUAUAAUCUUCUUGCCAUUCUAUUGCUGAUAGUACUUGUAUAAUGUGCGUGGUGUCUCUUAAGUGGGAUCGUAGUUUAGUAACAAUUGUUUGUAAGAAUUUAUCUAUAUACUCUGACAAAUUUGAGGUCAGAGAACUGAUCCCCGAAAUAAUAGGAUGUCCUGGGGGAUUCUUAAGAGUUUUAUGUAUUUUUGGCACAUGAUAAAAGACUGCCAUUCUGGGGAAUUUACAAUACAAGUAAUCAUAUUCUUUUUUUAUUAAGAAUGUCUCUUUGUUUACCUUCUUCUAAUAGAGUUUGUAGUUCUGAUUGGAACUCUUUAGAGGGAUUGUGUUUUAAAACUUGAUAAGUUUUAUUGUCGCUAAGUAAUCUUUCAUUUUCUCUUUGGUAAUCCUCUGAAUUUAAAAUGACCAGGCCUCCUCCUUUGUCAGCUGCUCUAACGACAAUUUGGUCAUUUUCCAUCAGAUUUUUUAAAGUAGUCUUUCUUUUUUCGUUAGGUUGUCUUAGUGUUGUCUUUUAAGUUUAAUAGUUUUAAAUGUCUUUCUACAUUUUUUUCAAAAACUCUUAUGUGAUCUGUUAUAGAGUAUUAAGGGUUUCUGUUUCAGUUCCCUUUAGCGCUUGGUGUGUUCAGUUGUGAUUUUUUUUUUCGUACUCGACCUUGGCUUUGUAUCUGACUCCUUUUAUCUCUUUAUCCCUGUUUUGUCUUGUUUGCCGGCUUACUGAUUACUGUGUACCAGACCUUGGCUAAUUCUUGUUUUCGCUGUCUCUUUGUACCCUUGACCUCGGGUAGUUCCUGGCUCUGUCUUUCUCUGCUCUACGUCGAUUCCGGCCAUUCUAAGGUCCGGUAAGACGUAUCUGCUCUAUAUUGUCAAUUGUUGGACUAAAUCUUGCGUGUUGGGGUAUACUACCGUGACAGUUAGGCAAUAACUAUAACGUGGGGUUGUGUGGGCAAACCUCGGUACUGAGGCUGGGAAUCUGGCCCUGCCAUUGUGAGACUAAGACGAACACGAAAAUUGAAGGCCAGUACCUGAAACCGAUAAGCCAGUUAUCUUUCCCCAGGUGUGGGCUUGACUCUUAUAAAGUGUAAUGUGUGAGGAGAAGGCACAUACCUGGAAAAGUAACCAUGUAGCCUAACAACAGGAAAGGGUAAAUACAGAAAGUAUACACCUAUAGAUAAAAUUAACAAAAUUACUGAGGGAUAAAUAACAACAAUAGAAAGUAAAAAGGGGGCAAUAAGACAAUCCACACACCAAAAAGGGGUUAGAAGAAUGCUUCUCCUAAGAAGCAGAACAUUUUGAAUAGAGACCUAUGAGGAAAAGUAAUACGUAUUCAUAUAAGUGUAAUAAUAAUACGGGGGAUAAUAAUAAUAUUAUAUUAAGGGAACUGAAAAUACCAGAGGAAAGCUGAAAUUCACCAUAUCCUCUAAUAUCAGAAAUGUAUAGAAAGGAGUCUAAACAGGAGUGAUAGAUAAGAAAAAGACAAUUUAACCCUUCAUUGAAAUGACAUGAAAAGAAAGGUAUAGAAUUAAAGCCGUACAUGAUAUUGUCAGAAUGUCGUGGACCAUACAAGGGUCAAUGCUAAAAGGCAAGCCCCAUGCCAUCCCCCAAGGACUGAUGGGCGUAAAAGUAGUUUACAAUGCUACGUAACCCAACAAGUGAAAACAUAGGCAACACCACACAAAAACAAAAGCUUUAGAUUUUAGAAAAACAGAUUUUCUAAAAUUAGAAUAUGUGUAAAGGAGUCCUUAGGAGUCCUUAUCAGACUGGAGCAGUUUAAAUGGAGUCCAGGGGAAAUGGGAUUAUUUAAAAGUUGCACUACUGAGAAAAUUCCAUUAGGCUUGUCAGUAAGAGCAGAAAAAUAAAAAAAAACACUGUGAUAAAAUAGUAAAAAACUAAAAGUUAGCAUUUAGUAAAUUUAAAAAAGACAGGCAGAUCUAUAAGAUUAGGCAUACAAAGGCAAAGCAAGUUAUAAAAGCCUCCAAAGCACACACAGAAGAGAAAAUAGCACAGUCAGUGAAAAAAGGGGAUAAAACAUUUUUUAGAUACGUAAAUGAUAAAAGGAAAGCAAAAAAAGGAUUAGUUAAAUUAAAAACAAAAGAAGGAAGGUAUGUAGAAGAGGAUAAAAGUCUUGCUGACCGCCUCAAUUGAUAUUUUUGUUCAGUAUUUACAGCUGAAAAUUAGGGACUUCAAUUAGGAAAAAGGACAAAUGAACCAUUUGUUACAUGUGAGUUUACAGAUAAAGAUGUUCUAUUUCAACUGUCAAAAGUAAAGACAAAUAAGUAAAUGGGACCUGAUGGAAUACACCCAAAGCUAUUAAAAGAGCUUAGUGGUGUACUAGCAAAACCAUUUACAUAUGUAUUUAUUUAUUUACUUUUUAUUUUAUUUUUUUUGUUUUAAGGUGUAUUUUAUUACUAAAUGUUACGGAAGAGAUUAAUGUUAUUAUACAGUGCCUUGCAAAAGUAUUCACUCCCCCUUGACUUUUUACCUAGUUUGUUACAUUACAGCCUUAAGUUCAAUGUUUUAUGAAUCUGAAUUUUAUGUAAUGGAUCAGAACACAAUAGUCUAAGUUGGUGAAGUGAAAUGAGAAAAAUAUAUACAUAAAACUAUUUUUUAGAAAUAGAAAACAGAAAAUUGGCAUGCGCUCUCUACAGAGUGCUCAGGCGGCUGUGGCAUUUAAAGGGCCGGCGAUGGGGGCGCAGGGCGCCCCCUCCUAUAUGGCACCAUAGGCGGCUGCUUAGUUCGCCUUAUAGGAAGCGCCGGCCCUGGUGUCUGGUACCAGGAUGGGGCAGGGCUACUUGCUCGAUAAGCUGCCGGGUGAGAUGCCCCUCCUGUGCCCUUCACAGACACCGUUCUGCAGCUCCGCAGUGUGCAGAGCUGCAGACCAUGUGUCUCGCGAGAUCCGAUCAAUCAGAGUGUUGCUGCAGGUUACCACGGCAACGUUCUGACUGUCUCUAGCGAGAUUCAUGGUCUGCAGCUCCUCUCUCCCUAUCACAUCACACCCUCUCCUCACACCAUCACCCCCCCUCAUCAUGAACCCCCAUCAUCACCCCCUUCCUCUCACAUCAUCACCUCCCCCUCACCCCAUAAACCCCCUCACAUCACCACCCCUCCCUAUCACCAUCACCCCCUCUCCCUCUCAUAUCAACCCCCCUCUCACCAUCUCCCUCUCUUAUCCCCUCCCUCUCACAUCAGCCCCUCUCAUCAGCCCCCCCUCUCACCCUCUCCCUCUCCCUCUCCCUCUGACAUCACCUCCCCUCUCAUCAUCAACUCCAAUCAUCACCCUCCCUCUCAUCAUCAACCCCCCUCCCUCACACCAUCACCCCCUUCCAGCACAGUAUUAUCCACUAUACAAGCACACACACUGCAUUCACUAUACAAACACACUACACACACACUUAUACAUGUGUCUGUGUAUCUGUAUGUGUAUGUGUCAGUGUGUGUAUGUGUAUCUGUUUGUGUGACUGUGUAUCUGUUUGUGUGACUGUGUUUGUAUCAGUGUGUCUCUAUCUGUAUGUGUCCGUGUGUCUCCCCCUGUGUGUCUGUAUGUGUGUGUGUCAGUGUUUGUCUGUACCUGUGUAUGACUAUGUUUCUAUGUAACUGCAUGUGUGUACCUAUGUGUCUGUGUGCCAGUGUGUGAAUAUGUGAGUAUAUGUACCUACAUCUCAACAUUUUGCCAGCACUACACACAAAUACAACCCUGCAACACACCACUAUAUUCAAAAACCACACUACAGAAAAAUGCAGGCCUGGAUUCAAAUGCCAAUAAGUGCAAACAUACCCGUACAUUCACACACAUACUCUAUACAAAAAUAUGCUUACAGUCAAACACACAAACACUGCCUGGUGCUAAAUACAUAAAAAAAAAUGUGUGGGUGUUUUUUAAAUUUUUAAGCUGGGUGGGGAGGGUUGCAAAAUAUAGGAUCCGCCCUGGGUGCCAAAUGCUCCAGGUACGCCCCUGCCUUAUGUGCACAUAUUGUAUAACUAAGGGAAAGCCGUGAGAUUCUCUGGCAGGGGGCAGGCUUAUAGCCGCAAUGUAAAGAACAGGUGUACACAAAGUGUAUAGGAGAAUAUUAAAUAUAAUACAAACCACCACUGGUGUUAUAUGUGGAGCACUGAAAAUAUAUAGACUUACCCCCAUGGCUUAACACAAUUUAACAUGCAAAGGAAAAGACGUAUCACAGUACGUAUAUCUGUAGGUAUAAAAACUACAAUUAGUGUAAUAACGUAAUGUGACAAUUGUGUGAAUAAGUGGUCUAUAUGGACUCACUCACAUGAUCUAGAGCCCCUUAGGAUAGGCUCAAGUCACUAGGGCAUAUGUGUACUCAGGUGACACUGUAUCAGACAGAUCCUUCUCUUAGUCAGUUGAUCCUCAUGUAUAAAAGAGAGGAAGAAAGGGGAAACAUGGGGAACAAAAUGGCUCCUGGUGUAAUAUAUUCCACAGAUUUAUAUUAUAAGUCAUAGACAAAAUGGCUGUAGAGGUUUAUGUGCCUUUAAGGGGGCUACAACCCUUCUUUAAGCAGCAAUGUAGAAGAUGAUUGACUAUUAAGGUGUUAAAAUAAAACAUUUAUUUAACAUAAGUAUUAAAAGCAUUUAAAACAAAAAUAUGCAAAGUGUAUAGAAUGUAGUCUCCAAUCUUCUUCCAGAAACAUGUUUCACUGUGCUGUGACAGCUUCCUUGCUGCUGGGCAGCUCUUUAACCCCUUAAGGACCAAACUUCUGGAAUAAAAGGGAAUCAUGACGUGUCACACAUGUCAUGUGUCCUUAAGGGCUUAAAUAUCCCUCUCUUCUUCCUGUUAGGUGAAUCAAUUACAUCCUCCUCCAAUCAGCUGUUGUAAUUUGCUGGAUGUGUAUUUGAAACAGCUGCGUUCAAUAGGUUGUUUAUAGCCCGGUCACAUGAUGUGGCACGCAACGUCACGCGCGGCGUCAUGGAUGGGGCAUGCGUACAACUGAUACAUACAAAUCACAAAUCGGCCAUGUUACUGUAUGGUUGCAUUGUGUUCAAAUUACAAAUCCAUUGCAUCUCUGCCCAAUUUUCUUAAUAAGGUUGCCCCCUCUCCAGUCAGGUAGUAUUUUCUGUAUUGCAAGAAACUCGAGGUGAGUGGGGUCACUAUUAUGCUUAUUUUUUAAAAUGUAGGGAGACACUAUGUUUGUCAAAGCCUCUCCUGAUGUUUCUUAUAUGCUCUUGGAUUCUCAUAUGUAAGCUCCUUGUGGUGCAUCCUACAGUCCACAGUGACAAGUAAGCAGAUAAAUCACCUUUGUUGACUGACAUGUAAUUAAUUAAUUUAUCUUAAAUUUAAUUCUCAUUUCGAGGAUGCAAAAAUUAUUUUAUCAAUCUUUUUUUACUCUUAGAAAUUUUACAUGCACCACAAUGUCCACAACCAUAAAACCCUUUUGACUCAUUAAAGAAUUAUUUCUUAGGCCUUUUCGGAGGUAUAUGGUUUUGUGUUAAGGUUCUUCUAAGAUUUUUUACUCCUCUUUUUGUAAUUUUGGGCUUUACCGGGAGAAUGCUAUUCAUUAAGAUGGGCCAAUAUUUGGAAAUGAUUCUCCUAAAUUCCUUAUUUUUACAAUUAAAAUCACAUAUUAAACCUAGUGGCUGGGACUCCACAGCUUUUCCGCCCUGAUCCAUGAGCCUGCACAACUGAAGACUUCCCUUUUUGACUCUCAGAUCCCCCUCUCGAUGACCUGCACUAUCUGGACUGCAAGGAUUACUAGCCUCCACCUUACAAGCCCCACUCCCCACCUUACCUGACCAACUCCCUUUCUUAUUACAUACACCACCUACAUUACUAGAUCCACUUCCCACCUUACUACCCCCACCACCCACAUUACUAAACCUACUCCCCACCUUACUACCCCCACCACCCACAUUACUAGACCUACUCCCCACCUUACUACACCCACCACCCUUAAUAGUCCCAUUCCCCAUCACCACAUUACAAGCCCCACUCCCCACAUUACAAGCCCCACUCCCCACCACAACCUUACACGUCCCAUUCCCCACAUUACUUGCCCCACUCCCCACUACAACACUAUUAGUCCCUUUCCCCAUCACCACUUUACAAGCCCAACUACCCACUGUGCACGCCUAUGCAUGUGAGUGUGCUUACAUCCCAUUAUUCACAUUUACCAAGGAUUGCAGUACAAUUUUACCAUCUGCACUAUUUGUUGUUUUGUUUUUAUUUGUUGUUCUGUUUUUAUAACUGACUAUUUUGAUGAAGAAAAGGAAGGUACCUUUCAUGUGUGUGUUUUUUCUUUUAACUGCUUGUUUUUAACAUUUUGCGCACACGUAAUAUUUUCUUAUCACAUAUUAAAAUCAAUUGGCUUGAACAUGCCAUCUUAAAUUUAUUCCACACCUCUGCAAUGUCCAGUCCACUUACAGCACCUUAUUUAUUUCCAAAUUACAGCAAGGAAGCAACUUCACUUCCACAAAAACAUCACUAUGUUACUAUUUUUAAAUGUCUGUAAAGAAUGUCCCCCCUUUAUCUACAAAUUGUGCUCAGUACUCCUUUAGCCACUUAGUUGAACCCUUUUACUCUCUACUUACAUGCUCCACCCCAGUUAGAUUCUAAUUUAUUACUACAAAUAAAAUAUUCAGUAAUAUGAUAGAGUUGUAAAAUUAAAAAGUACAAUGUCACUUGAUCGUUUUUUGUUCGGUUAAAAUUCACAUCAAUAUCUUCAUUUCAUAUUUACCUUAAAUAAGUACCUAUCAUUUUUUAUCUUUUCAUUUAUAAAGGUCCAGCUUGUAGAUGAGUGAAGAUCAUGCAAAGCCCAGAUCAUGGUGUACACUGCUAUAUACACAAAGUAUGGUGUUCCCUGAUUGGAAACAUUAUACCACGGGACAACGUACCACGGGCUCUUCAGAUUUUCACUACAGUUGUAAAGGUUAUAAGGUAGAUAUCUUUGCCAGAAUUUGUUCUUCCAUUUGUUUCUUGAUAAACAGUUAAAGGACACCAUCCAAAGCUCUUCAAGGAGAGUGUCUUCUGAGCGAUUAGAUGGGUGGAUUGUAUCAAAAAAUGUCUGCAGGCCAGGAACUUGUUUAAUUUGUGAUUGAAAGAAUAUGCUGUAUUUACCAAUAUCAUGCAUCUUCUUUAAAUAGUCAAUUUGAUGUGCCCAUGAUGGAGAAAAAAUAAGUGUUUUUUGUCUUAGUACUUCUGAUGCUGUUUGAAUAAAGAGAUUACAUUUUUCAUGAUAAGAGCCACUAAUGAUGAUAAUCCUAGUUGUUGAUUUUUGAAUUAUACUUUCAGCACGGUCAAAUUGCUUUUGAUUAGCACAUUUUAUGGAAAACUCAAUACAGAUUUCAAAGAAGAUGAACAUUUGCGUCAGUUGCUGGAGACUCCUUUCUCCUUUACUUUCACCUGUUGCAAUGAUUCCAACCCAGUCCCAUCCAUAUUUUUUUAAUAUAAUUGCAGUUGUUUUGUAUGGUAUGUAAUGCCCUUGAACUGUCCUGAAAAGGUUUGGGUGUUCUACAUCUGACAAAUACUCUGUUUCACCAUAGCUGAUCUAGAGAGAUUACACAAAAUAAAUUAUAUUAAUGACCAAUAUGUACUGUUCAUUUAAAGCUGCAAGGGGAAAAAUGCGAGAAGAAAAUGCGUGUGUGUGACAAUCAUUUUGAUCGACUGCUUCUUUCUGACAAACAUUAAAUCCAAUAUUUUUCGUUAGACUUGUGCAUGGCAAACAAAAAUUGGUUUAGUUAAUGCUGCAGUUCAGAUCAGCAGACUUCUGGUCAAAACAAAUUAGAGAAGCAAUUUGGGCAGCCAAAAAAUAAUAAUGGAAAUGUUGAUGGUACUAGUAAUAUAAAUGUGACAGUAAUGGUAAUGGUGAAGGUAUUGGUGGUGCUGGUGAUCGUUGGGAUGUUGGUUGUGAUGGUAACAUUGACAGUGGGUGAGCUACUUGUGCCAGUGUUAGCAGAUACAGCUGAUAUCUCACAUAUCUCUGUUGGAUGAGGCAAUUCUACAGCACAUACAGGUGGACUUAGAGAUGAUGAAGAAGAUGCAGGAUGUGCUGUAGCACACUAUUUGUCAGAGAAAAUACUGAGCUGCUGCCUAUCAUCUCCACACGCUCCUCUUCUAAUUCCUAUAGCUCAUCAUACUCAUAGGCCACCCACGCCACGUUUCGGGGGCACUACUUUGAUACUCCAUUGUGGUGAUGCAACAAAGUAGACUCUGUUGUACUCUCCCUUAGUUGCUUCCAAGGGGUGCACCAAGAAGAUAUGCUUGAACUUGCUCUGGUAGAAGGAGCUGCAGUGCCCAUGGAAGCAGCAGUAAAAGUUGUUGCAGGAGCAUGAAGCUGACAGAGAGGGCUGAAAACUAAGAAACUGUGGAAGAUUAACACUGAGAUGUCAUGUCAUGCUAUAAAGAUAAUGCAAAGGUAAAUCAAUAACUCGGGCGAAGCAGACAGUAACAGAGGAGCUACUCAGGACGCACCACGUGGUGAAACAUUUUUACGUGUAUUCAAGCAAAGAGCCCUCCUCAGAGAGAGCUGAAGAAAGUGGCUUUGUAAUAGUCCCCCAGAGAGACUCCCUGAAGACAACACCUAGGAUCUGUACUAAGGACGCCAGUGACCCAUGAGGGUUCAACAUGAGAAGCCGUUCAACAUGGUCAGGUCCAGAAGCAUCCUGUGUCAGAAAUACUUGUGGGUGAGAUCUUUCUGUAUACUGGGGGAGAAGGGGAAUAAGACAGUAAUUGCUAAAAGCUUCUAUAGAAACUGACGGGAAUUAUAAAUACUGGGUUUGCUAAAUCUUUGCAGCCCUUUGAAGUUAUGGGUGCCAAAAGUGAGUCUCUUUACAGACAUAAGCGGGACAUUUAAACUAAUGGAGUUUUUGUAUUAGAAAUGUAAUAAACUCUCCCAAUAGAAAUGGGAUACUUCUCAAUGUAGACUUUGAUCAACUAUAUGUUGCAUUGGUCUGGGCAUAACACACCUCUAACACGAGAAGUUGACAAGAGAUUACAACAGAGAUGUCAGGAUCGUGACAGGGAUCCAACACGCAGAAUACAAACAGGAGAUAGGUACGUAUACCGGACCUUAGAAUGGCCGGACUAACGUAAGGAGAAAGCAAAGAAUGGUCAGAGACAAGCCGAGGUCGAGGGAACGAGAGAGUAGGUAAGCGAGAGACAAGCCGAGUCAAAAGGACAAGAGAGGAAAGCAGGGUCAAAAAAUACAAGCCGAGUCAGGAACCAAAAGACAAUAGAGGUAAGAGCACUGAGUGAACAGACUAGCUAGAACCACGACAGGGCAAUGAAUCAUUCCACAAAACCCUCUUUUAUACCUUGGCUCUUUAACUGUUGACCCCGCCCCCAACGAGUCCUGAUUCGUUGUUCGGCACUUGGUUGCCGUGAUUGACGGGUCGGAACGUGAUUGCCGUCAUGACGUCGGCUACUGAGCGCCGCGUCAUAAAAGGAGGCGGAGCUAUCGCGGCCGGCGUGUAAACGGCCGGGAGGACUGCGAGGAUCGGGUGAGUCAGCCCCCCUAGGAGGAUGGACGUCUAGGUGUCUAACCUCCUCCGAGGUAGACACCAGAGGUAACCUGACAGUACCCCCCGUCUCAGAAACGCCCACCGGGCGGAAGGAACCGGGGCGAGAGGGAAAACAAGCAUGAAAUGCCCGGAGGAGACGAGGGGCAUGCACAUUUUCACGGCCCACCCAAGACCUUUCUUCAGGCCCAUACCCCUUCCAGUCAACAAGAUAUUGCAACUUCCCCCGAGAAAUACGAGAAUCGAGAAUGGAUUUGAUUUCAUAUUCCUCCUGACCCUCAACCUGGACAGAGAGAGGGGAGGACACAGCGGAGGAAAAUCUGUUACAAACCAAAGGCUUCAACAAAGAAACAUGAAAAGAGUUAGGGAUGCGCAGGGCAGGCGGAAGGGCAAGACGAUACGCAACCGGGUUAAUCCGACACAGAACCUUGUAAGGGCCUAUGUAACGAGGGGCAAAUUUCAUGGAAGGAACCUUCAAGCGGAUGUUUCUGGUACUCAACCACACCUUAUCACCCGGGGCAAAAACCGGAGCCACCCGUCUCCGUUUGUCAGCGUGUCGUUUGAACACUGUGGAAUUCUGAAGAAGAAUUCGUCGAGUCUGAUCCCACAACUUUCUCAGAUUGGCGACAUGAACAUCAACCGACGGUACCCCUUGGGAAGGGGAAACCGACGGAAGAAUGGAAGGAUGAAAGCCAUAAUUCAAGAAAAAGGGGCUAGAACGAGUAGAAUCACAAACGAGAUUGUUGUGUGCAAACUCUGCCCAAGGAAUCAGACCAACCCAAUCGUCCUGGUGUUCAGAAACAAAACAACGCAAAUAUUGUUCAAUCUUUUGGUUGGUGCGUUCGGCAGCUCCGUUGGACUGGGGAUGAUAGGCAGAUGAGAAAUUCAACUUGAUGCCUAAGUGAGAACAGAAAGACUUCCAAAAGCGGGAAACAAAUUGGGAACCUCUAUCAGAAACAAUUUCAGAGGGAAUACCAUGUAAACGAAAAAUCUCCCUCGCGAAUAUCUCAGCUAAUUCGGGAGACGAGGGCAGUUUAGGCAAGGGCACGAAAUGAGCCAUUUUAGUAAACCUGUCAAUCACCGUGAGAAUAACAGUAUGUUUUUUAGAAACAGGCAAAUCGACAAUGAAGUCCAUAGCCAAACAGGACCAUGGUCUCUCGGGAAUUUCUAAGGGGUGCAAAAGCCCACAUGGGAGCGCAUGAGGUUGCUUAGUCUUCAUACAGACAGCACAUGCCCCGACGAAAUCCCUUAUAUCCUUACGAAAAGAAGGCCACCAGAAAUCUUUAGAAAUCAGGGAACACGUUUUGCGUAUGCCGGGGUGCCCAGCAACUUUACUGUCAUGAAAGCAAUGCAGCAGUUCCACUUGGAGCUCAGGAGGAACGAAGUACCGAGCCCCAGGAACAGGUUUGGGAGCUAGAUGUUGUACUUUCUUGAUCUCAGCAAGCAACGGCGAGUGUAUCCUGACACACGUGUUGGCAAUAAUAUUACACUUGGGAACGAUAGAAGACAAAGCUGCUUCAGACACCGUAGAAGGUUCAUGUUGGCGGGACAAUGCAUCUGCCUUAGAGUUCUUAGAACCAGGUCUAUAAGUGAGCAUGUAAUUGAAAUGUGUAUGGAACAAGGACCAACGAGCUUGCCUGGCGGACAAGCGCUUGGCCUCCCCUAUAUAGGACAAAUUCUUGUGAUCCGUCAAAAUAGUAACCGGGUAUAAAGUCCCUUCCAACAAAUGUCUCCAUUCCUUUAAAGCCAUAAUGACCGCUAACAGUUCCCUGUCACCAAUGUCAUAUCUACUUUCAGGCCCAGAUAAUUUCUUGGAAAAAAAACCACAUGGAUGUAACGGUUUAUCCAAACCUAGCCUUUGGGACAAGAUAGCGCCUAUACCUGUCUCCGAGGCGUCUACCUCGAGUAGAAAAGGCAAAGAGGUGUCAGGAUGAACUAAUAUCGGUGCUGAGGCAAAAUGUUCUUUGAGUGUUUUGAAAGCAGAGAGAGCCUCUGUAGACCAAGUCUUGGUAUCAGCACCCUGUCUAGUCAUAUUGGUAAUAGGAGCAAUAAUAGAAGAGUAACCUUUAAUGAAGCGCCUAUAAUAAUUGGAGAAUCCGAUAAACCUCUGAAUGGCCUUGAGUCCCCUGGGCAAUGGCCAAUCUAAAAUCGAUUGGAGUUUAAUGGGGUCCAUCCUAAAUCCGUCUCCAGAAAUAACGUAGCCAAGAAAGUUUAUCUGAGAUUGGUCGAAGCUACACUUUUCCAAUUUGCAGUACAAUCCAUGUUGUAACAGUUUGCGCAAUACCCUUCUGACUUGUCUGUGGUGAGUCUCAAUCUCUCUAGAGUGUAUUAGUAUAUCAUCCAAAUAUACUAUAACGCAUUCAUGCUGAAAUUCCCUAAGAACCUCAUUAAUUAGGUCCUGGAAUACUGCAGGUGCAUUGCAAAGCCCGAAGGGCAUUACCGUGUAUUCAUAGUGGCCAUAACGGGUAUUGAAAGCUGUUUUCCAUUCGUCUCCCUGCUGAAUUCUCACCAAGUUAUAAGCUCCCCUCAGAUCUAACUUGGUAAAAAUCUUGGAGCCUUUCAGUCGAUCAAAGAGCUCAGUAAUCAAAGGAAUAGGAUAAGCAUUUCUAAUAGUUAUCUUAUUCAAGCCCCGAUAAUCAAUGCAAGGCCGUAGAGUGCCGUCUUUUUUAUCCACAAAAAAGAAACCGGCCCCGGCGGAGAAGAAGAUCUCCUAAUAAAUCCUUUGUCUAGGUUUUCACGUAUGUAUUCCUCUAGGACUAAGUUCUCCUUAGUGGAUAAAGGAUAUACCGUACCCCUCGGAGGCAUAGUACCAGGCAGGAGUCUAAUUUUACAGUCGAAGGACCUAUGUGGAGGUAAAGUAUCAGCCUUCUUUUUGUCAAAGACUGCCUUUAAAUCCAGGUACUGAGACGGUAUCUGUAAAAUCUGUAGAUUGGGAAGAGUUAACCGGGGCGUCAACUAUGCAAACCGGUGAGACUUUCUGUAAACAUCCUCUCUGGCAACCCUGACCCCAGGAGACUAUCUCACCCAGUUCCCAGUCAAUAGUAGGGUUAUGCUUCUUAAGCCAGGGAUACCCCAAGACUAUUGGAACUGAAGGAGAUGAGAUCAGCAUGAGGGAUAUUCUUUCCUCGUGUAGGAUACCAAUGGUUAACUUAAUUGGUAUGGUUUCACGAAAAAUAACAGGUUCAGAUAAUGGUCUACCAUCUAUGGCCUCAACGGCCAAGGGUGUAUCCCUUAGCUGAGAUGGGAUAGAAUGGUUAGUGACAAAGGCUUGGUCAAUAAAGCUUUCAGCUGCUCCGGAAUCUAUCAAAGCCAUAGCAUUAAGUACUCCCUUUUCCCAAGCUAAAGAAACAGGUAUCAGAAGCCUAUGAUCUUUAUAAUCAUAUAUAGAGGACAAGAUAGAAACACCCAAGGCCUGUCCUCUUGAGAAACUUAGGUGCGAGCGUUUCCCGGCCGGUUAGGGCAAUUUAGGCGUAGGUGACCUCUUAUUCCGCAAUACAUACAAAGCCCCUCCCUUCUCCUGUACUGUCUUUCCUCUUCUGAGAGUCGAGUGUUACCUAUUUGCAUAGGUUCUGGGAGAGCUAAAGUAGUAGAAUCAGAACUCUGAAAUGAGGGAGCUAGUCUUAUGGAGGAUCUGCGGGUUCUAUCCCGAGUAUUCUGCCUCUGUCUCAUACGUUCAUCUAUUCGGGAAAUAAAUGAAAUCAAAUCCUCCAAAUUUUCAGGAAGUUCUCUUGUGGCAACCUCAUCUAGAAUCUCAUCAGAUAACCCGUUAUAAAUACGUCCAUAUAAGCCUGUUCAUUCCACUUGACUUCUGCCGCCAAGGAUCUGAACUCUAACGCAUAAUCCACGAGGGUUCGGUUAUACUGUCUAAGACGUAACAGUAGUCUAGCUGCAUUGGCCUUUCUUCCUGGGGGGUCAAAAGUUCUCCUAAAUGCAGCGACAAAAGCAUUAUAAUUGUAAACUAAUGGGUUAUCAUUUUCCCACAGGGGGUUAGCCCAUCUAAGUGCUUUGUCGAUGAGCAACGUGAUUAUAAAUCCAACCUUCGCCCUGUCAGUAGGGUAGGCGUGGGGUUGUAACUCAAAAUGAAUACCUAUCUGGUUUAAAAAGCCUCGACAAGUGUCAGGAGAGCCGCCAUAGCGUGAAGGGGAAGUAACACGGGAAGAAGCACCCACUGUGGCUACUUCUAGGCCUGUACUUACAGGGGAGAUAGAUGGGGUACGCAUCUCCUCUGAGUGAUUACUAGGACGAGAUAGCAACGCUUGCAGAGCUAGAGCCAUCUGGUCCAUUCUAUGAUCCAUGGCCUCAAAUCUAGAGUCAGGAGAACCGACCUGAGAGUUUGUACCUGCAGGAUCCAUUGGCCCUGUCGUAAUGUCAGGAUCGUGACAGGGAUCCAACACGCAGAAUACAAACAGGAGAUAGGUACGUAUACCGGACCUUAGAAUGGCCGGACUAACGUAAGGAGAAAGCAAAGAAUGGUCAGAGACAAGCCGAGGUCGAGGGAACGAGAGAGUAGGUAAGCGAGAGACAAGCCGAGUCAAAAGGACAAGAGAGGAAAGCAGGGUCAAAAAUACAAGCCGAGUCAGGAACCAAAAGACAAUAGAGGUAAGAGCACUGAGUGACCAGACUAGCUAGAACCACGACAGGGCAAUGAAUCAUUCCACAAAACCCUCUUUUAUACCUUGGCUCUUUAACUGUUGGCCCCGCCCCCAACGAGUCCUGAUUCGUUGUUCGGCACUUGGUUGCCGUGAUUGACGGGUCGGAACGUGAUUGCCGUCAUGACGUCGGCUACUGAGCGCCGCGUCAUAAAAGGAGGCGGAGCUAUCGCGGCCGGCGUGUAAACGGCCGGGAGGACUGCGAGGAUCGGGUGAGUCAGCCCCCUAGGAGGAUGGACGUCUAGGUGUCUAACCUCCUCCGAGGUAGACACCAGAGGUAACCUGACACAGGGCAGGACAGGACUGUACAUGAAAUGGGAAUACAAGACAAAAUAAAACAAGACAAGAGAUACAAGGCAAAACAAGAGGAGACAUAACUAAGUACUAUAUAUGUAAAACAUUGGACAUUUCGACAUACAUACAUGGCCAAGAUGUAUGCAGCCCACCAUGCGCCAAAGUACUCUAUUACGGUGGGUCCUAACUGCCUAGAUAUGCAUGACCAAAUAAACAAUAAUAAAACACACACAGUACUUACCUGCAAAGAAAGGAGCAGAGGUAAUGAAAUCACUGCCUGCAGGACCAGACUGAAACAAAAAAGGAUUAAAUGGCAAAGGAAAGGGUGUGGCAACAAAAAAAACAUUUAAAGGAAACCAGGAGACUGGGAAUUCCAGGAACGGAAUAAAGGAAUGAACCCAGAAAACCCAGCAUAAAGAAAAACAGAAAAACUAAACAAGAAUUGUAAAAAGAAUACUGGAUACCAGAGGUCAAGGCCAGACAUCUCCGCAGAACAGAACAGGAUGUGACACAAAGUAGCAGCCAACGUUUAGAACUAUGGAGAAAUUGUCAGAGACCUUAGAGAGGUUAUAGAUGUAUAUAAGACCUCAGAAGGGCUUGCCUGAACCCAGGGAGUCCAUGCCACAAGUGUAGUAGUAAUAAGUAUUUUUGUCUGCCCUUUUUGACACACACUUAGAUUUCACUGUAUAUUUUACCUUAUGUGUGCUACGGCAGUAUCACACUUCAUAUGUUGCUCAGCUUUGUUGUCUGAGUGCAGCAAUACCCCCGUGUGUAUGUUUGCCAGGUAUAUAUGCGAAUGUUGAAGGGGCUAAUUUGAGACACAGCCAUUUCAGGUUUUUUUUCAAACUUUGAAUUUUGAAGCUGGGUCCAUGUCCGGUUUUGGAGCAUUUUAGCUGGUUGCUACUUCAAACUACCCACAACGGCCUACCAUUUCUAGUAGAUACCCAGGAUACAUGUGGAUGUUGCAAGGGAAAGUUUCAGACAUACUAAUUUCAUUUUUUUCCAAAAGUUGAUGCUUUGUCUAUGUCUCAUUUUAGAGUAUUUUAGCAGCUUGUGAUUGCAAAUUACCUCUCAAAGGAAGCAUCUAUUAAGUAUAAGUAGCUCAUCAAUUCAAAUUAUGAACAAGAAAACCACCGACACCAGCUAACUAAAUCCCAAUGUAAACAUAUUAACAUAAAUAAUUUAAUAAAUGUAACUCCUGAGAGUUAAAAAAAAAAAAAAAAAGGGUAGAAUAAAAUCAGUGCCCUUUGAGGUGUUUAAAUUGCUACGUUUUCAAAGUAUCAAUAACUCCUCAUCAGUAGGAUUGUGAUCACUAAAGCAUGAAUAUUUAACAUAAGGUAAUGCUUCCUUUUAUAUAGAUACAAUAAUGGUAAAAUUGUUGUCAAAAAGUGUUAAAAUGGUGGAACUCAGAUUGCAUCAACAUCAUUAAUGGCUCAUCAGCAGCAAUAUUAACAUGUCACUAAAUAUUGGAUAUGAGAUUGUUUUACAGUAAGAAUACAUUAACAUAUUCUUGUUUCUGAGCAUUCCCACAGAAAUAAGACUUGGAGAUUAAUUUUGUGCCAUUCGACUCAUCGAUCAAAUUCCGAGCCGAGGUGUACCGGAAUCACAAACCACCUGAAACAUGAAAUGCCAAGCAUUUUUGGUUCAGUAUCAUGGUUCUAGAUUCCACUCACAGUGCCAAAAAAAAAGAGAUGAUUGAUUCAGACAAACAAAGAAAAUAAUUGAUGGCUAUGGGUCAGUCACUUAAUGUUGAUUUUAUUGACAGUUCAAGCAAAAGCAGUAAAUAAAUAAAUAUAUAGUUAUAUAUUAUAUACUUAAAUGGACACUAUAGUCACCAGAACCACUACAGCAUAAUUUAGUGGUUAUGGUAUCUAUAGCCUCUUCCUGCAGGCUUUUCAAUGAAAACGCUGUCUUUUCAGAGAAAAGGCAUUAGUUACAUUGCUGGCUAGUAACACCUCUAGUGGCCUCACUCAGACGGCCACUAGAGGUGCUUCCUAUUUCAGUGCUGUACAGUGUGCAGCACCUACAUUCAGAGUCUCCACACUCUGCAUGGAGGUGCUGAACGUGCUCCAUAGAGAUAGUGAUUCAGUCCGCGCAACGUGGUGUUUUGUCGCACAUGUACAAUAGCUUUCCAAUGAUUUCCUAUGGGAACGAUUGGAUAAGAACGUCCAAACUGAUGAUCAAAGUCAAGGAGGUGAAGCCAGACAGGGCAUGUCGUGGCAUGGGAGAAAAGGUGAGCAAAAUUACCUUUUCAGCGUGACUGCAUCAGGAUCACCUAAACAGCCAAACCAGCACUAAACUGUCAGGAAUACAUGUUUUUGUUCCUGACACUAUAGUGUUCCUUUAAUAAACAUAUAAUAUAUAAAUAUAGAUUUCUUUUACUGCUCCUCCUGAUUUCUCCUCUAUUGUUUACGUUUUCUUACUUGUGAACCAAAUGGUGGGAAAAAUGUUCCUACCAUUGUGCUUCAAAAUAUAUGCAUAACAUGAGGGGGUGUGGCCAACAGCGAAACAGAGCGACGUCUCUUAACUGAGCUCCGCUAAGGCCUAAGAUAAGCAACAAUAAGCCACGAACAACGCAGAGACACAGCCCAAGACACGACUAUCCCCACAACAGAGACUAUGGGGAGAAAAAAUAAGAAGGCUCACAGACCUACCGGUCCCCGCCAGCCAGACAUCAGAACCUCCUUUGAGAGGCCGGCGAAAACGCAGUCCACAAAGAUGGCGCCCGGGGCCCGCUGCACACACGAGGCAUCAGAGGCCUUGCUUGACGAGGUAGACUCCAUUCCCUCCCCCCGAUCAGACACCCCGUCCUGCCAGUCAGAGUCAGAAGAGGACGAGACACCCUCUACAAAAGGGGACAUUAAAAGGUUCCUGACGGAACUGAGAACACUCUGGGUAGCGAACCUUUAGAAAGUUCAAACAGAAGUGGAGGAGGUACACCACAGAGUCCAAGCGCUGGAACAGCGUGAAGCAACCAGAGAACACACCAGGCAAACCACAGAUAUUUGCCUGGCCAAGUUAACCUCUCAGGUGCAGCAGCUAAAACGCACAGUGACCGCAAUAGAGGCACGGCAUAGGCGAAAAAACCUCCGUCUCAGUGGGGUCCCGGAGACGGUAACCGACGAGCAGCUUCAACCCUACAUAAAUACGCUAAUGACAACCAUGGACGCGGGUGGCAAAGGCGACAAGCAACGGAUCACCGCGGCUUUCCGCGUGCGGAAGUCAGCGGCAGCCCCGAGCGACGCACCCAGAGACAUCAUCAUGCUGACCCAAGACAUAACAGCAAGGUCGGCGAUUAUGUCAAGAUCCAGGGAAAUGGGAGAUAUCAUUCACGAAGGACACAAAGUGGCAAUAUUCCCUGACAUACCAUUUGCAGUCCUUGCAGAAAAAAGAAAACUAGCACCCAUUGCCAGAAAACUGAGAGACUGAGGCAUAAAGUACCGCUGGGGAAUGGAGGGCUACCUCCUAACAGAAAUAGGGGGAGAGAGCUUGGAACUAACUUCAGAGGACUAUCCGGAGGCCUUCAUGCAAAAAGUGGGUUUCUCCACCCGGCUAACACAAGGACUCUCUUCACCUACCAAAAGACCUGAGACAACAGAAGACCCCAUCAUGCAGACUGCAGAAUUUUAAAGUCAAGAGGCUGACUCCAGCUCCAAGAGCCACAGAGGCGCAACCACCUGCAGACAAAAAACACCGAACACAGACCCGGACCAACAGGGAAUCCCUCUGGUAAACCGGACUAAUGUAUGGACAUACCUAUGGCACUGUAAUGAACUGGUUAACAUAACCCCAACAACUAAUCACUCUCCCGGCACAGUCACCCACACCCAGACCCGCUAGAUAGCCAUGCCGCGACAAUACAGCAACUUCACAAGACAUCCCUUACCGAGACCCGGAUGCCGGUAUACCUAUAUAUCCACACACUUAUAUACACCACAGCGGCAACAGUAGCCCCAGAUAAAGGGACACUAGUCACCUGAACAACUUUAGCUUAAUGAAGCAGAUUUGGUGUAUAGAACAUGCCCCUGCAGCCUCACUGCUCAAUCCUCUGCCAUUUAGGAGUUAAACCCCUUUGUUUAUGAACCCUAGUCACACCUACCUGCAUGUGACUUGCACAGCCUUCCAUAAAUACUUCCUGUAAAGAGAGCCCUAUUUAGGCUUUCUUUAUUGCAAGUUCUGUUUAAUUAAGAUUUUCUUAUCCCCUGCUAUGUUAAUAGCUUGCUAGACCCUGCAAGAGCCUCCUGUAUGUGAUUAAAGUUCAAUUUAGAGAUUGAGAUACAAUUAUUUAAGGUAAAUUACAUCUGUUUGAAAGUGAAACCAGUUUUUUUUUUUCAUGCAGGCUCUCAAUCAUAGCCAGGGGAGGUGUGGCUAGGGCUGCAUAAACAGAAACAAAGUGAUUUAACUCCUAAAUGACAGUGAAUUGAGCAGUGAAAUUGCAGGGGAAUGAUCUAUACACUAAAACUGUUUUAUUUAGCUAAAGUAAUUUAGGUGACUAUAGUGUUCCUUUAAGGCCACCAAGAUGGCAAUUCUAUUGUUACUGUAUCUAAUUGCAUAAUUGUUAAUGUUGAUUUCAACCUAAUAAAAAAUACAAAUUAAAAAAAAUAUAUAUAUAUACACAUAACAUUAUAUUCUGUAUAUGUUUUGCAGCACACUGAUUGGCCCGUUUUUGUGGUCUAUUUUGUUCGUCUGAUUUGGUUUCCGAAAUUCUCCUGAACUGAACCAACAUUCAACCAAAAUUCCAUUUUAUAAUAGAAUUUUAUAUUUAACAUGAAUUAUUUUCAUUUGACAUUAUUAAAGCCCAAGGGGAUUUAUUUCCUCUUUAAAGUUGUAUUGAAUAUUUAUUACUGGAAAUACAAUCCAUUUGCUCUCAGCAACGUCCAUGUUGGUAAGGAUUAUUGAAAAAUAGGCCUCCUUAUUUUUGGUGCAGACGGAAAGGAUGCCGAAGUCAUGCUAAUUUGUAGCUUUCUUGACCGAAUGACAUCCAUAAAAUCAGUGACAGAUGUGUGGCCUCAAUGCUAAAAUCAGCUAUGCAUACCAUAGUUGGUGAAAAUGUCAACCUUUCAUCUAAAAUCAAACUACAUGAAUUUUGGAUGAAUGGGUUCAUUAAUAAGUCAUUAUACAACUUACCAUAAAAGCAAAUGGCAAACAUUGAUACUACAGGCGCUGUAAAUAAUUCCCUGCCACAUUGCCAGGAACUGAAUUAGCUUCUAAUGCAGUGACUGUCCUUCCCGGUUUCUGACAAAAUGCAUUAAUUUUUAAUAAGCAAAUCUCAUUCUUAGAAAGAAAAAAGCUACUGACCCAACCAGAGGUAUACUUAUUAAUGUGACGGCCAUAAAACAACACUUAUGGGCAAGAGGAACAGUCAAAUAGUAGUCCAGUGAAGCUAAACUUGAGAGUACUUCAAUUCCCAUACUGCUUGUGGCAAGUUUGUCCUAAUAACAGAUUUAUGAAGGGAAAGCCCUAUUUUCAUGACCAUUCCCCUUUAACUAUAUCACAAAAUCCAGUAAACGUGUAACAGCAUUAAGAUGCUCCUGAAGUGCUCUACUCUAUAACACACUGAAGGGUUCACUUGUAUGCUGGCAUACAAACGUGACUAUGAUGUGAUAAACAGUCCUCUGCUAGUUUAUGUUUGAUAAAGGUCUCUAUUAGCUUCCCUAAAAAUCAAUGAUGGACCAUGCAUGGUUUUGCCCUUUAAGGAAAUACAUUCUGAAAUACAAUGUUAUGCAUAUAUAAUAUAGUCCUUUAAAGAGCUUCCAUUGUUCAAUACUAAGGAGAUGCCAUGCUAGCCUUUAGUCAUUUGGAACAGAUAGGGAUAAAAUAAAGAACGUGAUUAUUCAAUAAGCUGAAGUUUCAGAUUCUGUGGUCAGAAAUUAUUGGGGAAAUGACAUUGUGAGCAGCAGGGUUCUUCUGCUCUCCCAUCACUCAAUCUGCAGCAUCAGCAUCUAUGCCACUGGAAUCUUUGUCAAAGAUUGAUUGACAUGUGAGGACUGGCCAAAAUGUUAAAAGUACAUCAAUUAAAAUCUAGAAAAAGGCAAAGAUUAAACCUGAAUUUAAUGAUUUUAGAACAUAGGCCAUGUAUGUGUCACGGUGCCGUGGGGUUCUGUUGGCGUGGCCGCACAGAAACACAGCGGUCACAUCGACAGAAAUAAUAAAUACUUAUCUUACCCACGGCACACCACUACCAGACCUCCCUCCGUCCAGGUCCCCAGUGUGUGCGGCGUUCCUAGAAACGCCGGCCACUGCGGUUCUGGUUUUAAUGGGGAUAUAGCCUUUGCCCACAUUAAAGAUGGCGCUUACGUGCGUGCGACGUCACGUCAUAGACGUGCACGCACGUUUUGGGGUCAGACGCCACAUACAGGCAAUUACAGCUUUAGGAGAGUUAUUUAAGCCCAUAUUGUCUUUUGAUCAGUGCCCUGUAGUGGUUUCCUUUUGCUGGUUUUUGACUUUGGCUUCAUUUUGACUUCCUUGAUUUCUGGUAUCCUUGACUUUUGGCUUUCCCUCAUCGUUGUGUCUCAUUCUGUAUCCCUGAACUUGGCAAGUAUUUUGACUAUUCUUGGGUACGUUAAGUCCGGCCAUUCUAAGGUCCGGUUAGACAUUAUCCUUAGUCCUAGGUGUGAUACCAUUUCUGUGUGCUGGAGUAACCAGUAAUCCUGACAGUACGUCCCUUUAAUUCUGUCAAUGUAAAGUAUAGUCAUUGCAGAGACAUGGCAGUGCUUACAUCUGUCUAAGACUUGCUGUAGGCAUACUUCCUCAUAACGACCUUUAAAAACUAAAAUAAUAUUCCACAAAAUCCAUAUGACUACUUGCAAAAAUAUAUACAAUGGUCAUACAUAUAGAUUGUAGCAAAUUCAAUUAUAGAUACAGGUUUUGUUUUACUUAAGGACUUGCUGUUCUCUGUGAAGGAGCCAACACCCUGAUAAUAGUGGAACUGAUCUUCCCACAUGAAACAGUUUACAUUUCUACCGUCAUUAAUAAUAUUGUUUUUCCUUAAUGAUAUCUGGUUUAACUGUAUGUUAACCAAAACAAAUAUAUUUACAUCCUUUAAUCCCUCUUCUGCUGGAGGGAUAAUCUGUUACAACAUGAUUUUUAUCCAAUUAACCCAUAUCCUGCAUGCCUUUUAUUUAAAUUACAUCAUAACAAUAUCCCAGAGUUCUCUUGCAGCCAGCUGUUUAUAGACUACUUUUCUUAAACUACGUUUCUCAGAAUUUUCUGUAACCCAGCUGUUGGAAGUAUCUUUCCCAGAAUUAUCUGCCAGCCAAUGGAAUUAUCUGCCAACAGCUGCUGUUUGCUCCAUUUCUUGGAAUUCACUCCAUGCGAGCACUAUCUCUUCGCAGGGCAAGUUGACCAAAUAUCCCUUCUGCACACCUUUUUUUUUUCUGACCCAAGACUUACCUGUAGAGAAGAAUCUCUGCUGAAAUAAGAGGACAAAAUUAAGCAUUAUCACUUUUACUUUUACUUUUACUAAUACUUCAACAGAAAUUGGAGCAAAAUAAUUGACAACUAAUUCAAUUAGCCUAUGAAUGUAAAUGUCCGGUACUGUAUGAAUGAAACAGUGCUACAGUUUCUUAAGUGUUACAGUCACUGAAUCCUGAUACUGUUUGAAAACCAAGUCAAAAUAUCUACAUAUGGAGGUUGUACACUGUAAUCUAUAAACAGGAGAUGGAAAGUGUCCAAUGUUUGAUGUCCAUAUGUUUGAAAUACACUCAGUGAAAAAUGACAAUUUUAUAGGAACAGUUGAGAUAAAGUACUGAAAAGGAAAACAUAAAGUAACUAUUUACUAAAUUAGGGAUAGAAUCAAAUAAAAACCAUUAUUCUUGGAUUCAAAAAACAAUGCUUACACUUCACCAAAAGUUUCAGUUGUGUCAUUGGCAAACAAAACUACAGACACCUACAGUUGGAAUUAGAAAAUGUCAUAAAUAUCUCAUUUUAUGCACAAGUAGAGUGUUAUGUCAAUGAGAAAAGCUACAGGGCUUUUUGAGGCUUUGUUUUUCUUCACUUGUACAAAAGAGCCAGCUAAUAAAGACCAAGGUAUUACAAUACUUUUAAAAUUAUUGAUUUAACAAAAAGGGGGCUCAAUGCCCAUGAAGGAUACGCUUCCUGGCUAGACCACUGCAGUGCAGGGCCACUUCUUAUUCUGACAGCAUAAGCUGAUCACAAUCAUACAUUGAGCUAGCCCAGCACCAACAGGCUUAAAGGAACACCAAGCCUGGGAUUGUUUUCAAGGAUGGAGUAAUUCUUGGAGCAGAUACCAGAGCAACUGAAUGAAUGAUUGUAGCUGACAAUACAAAUACAAACAUGUAUUCCUGACCCUAUAGUGUUAAAAACACUAUUAUCCCCCACCCCCUGUCCCUCCCUUGCCCUAUAUAUAUAGUAAAAUUUUACCUUUAUUCCAGUCUGCUAGUACUGGCUCUGCCUCUGAUCUGCCUCCUUGGCUGACAUCAUCAGAAGUUGUGAUCUCAACCAAUUGCAAUACUUUCCCAUAGGAAAGCAUUGGAUUGGCGGAGAUUGUCAAUGAGGCAGAUCAGGGUCAGAGCCAGCACAAGUCAAACACAGCCAUGGCCAAUCAGCAUCUCCUCAUAGAGAUACACUGAAUAAAUGCAUCUCUAUGAGGAAAGUUCAGUGUCUCCAUGCAGAGGAUGGACACACUGAAUGACAGUGCUGCACACUGUGCAGCAAUGCCCCAGGAAGCAUCUCUAGUAGCUAUCUGAGGAGUAGCCAGAGGAGGUGUCCCUAGGCUGUAAUGUAAACACUGCCUUUUCUCUGACAAGACAGUGUUUACUGCAACACACCUGCAGGGAUUGACUUUACUUAGCAGAACAAAUACAUUAAGCUGUAGUUGUUUUGGUGACUAUAGUGUCCCUUUAACUCAGGCUAACAGCUUCCGGUUCCUGGCAGACCCCAUGUAAGAAGUCAAAGCAUUCUAAAACGGGUUGCCACAGCACUCCUGGCACCAUAACCACUUCAUUGCUCUGUGGUGCUUAUGGUGAUUGAAAUGUUCCUUUGAAGAAACAUGUGAGCAUAUCAAGGUCAAUUUGGAACAUCACGGGUUAAUGACAUAUCAUUCAACAAGCACACUAUAAGGCAAACAGAUCAGAUCAUUUGAAGAUGGAUCCAUGUGGUUUGUCAUUAACAAUAUCUUGUCGGAGUAUCAGUUUUUAAAACAUGUAGUUAACAAUGACUAAAAUUAAGACUGCUUUUAAGUCAAUAAAAAUGGAGAGAGGAGGCACACUCAAUCCCAGUAAACACCAGGUGCACUGGAGCAAGACCAGCAAUCCCACAACGAUCAGGCAGACAAAAAAAAAAUCUCCAGGCACUCAAGGUGUUCAAGCUGCAGGCAUUUUCGUUUUGUCUUCCUGCUUUUAAGUCAAUAACAAUUUUUUACUUUUGCUGCACUGCCAGUAGAAACUUGUAACAUUUUUGGAUUUUAACAUGCAAUUUCAACCAAAGUUUAAAAAUGUUGUCAAUGGCAUACCAAGACUGGAUUGUGAUCAAGGCCAAACUUUUUUUUUUUUUUUUCAGUUCAAACUGGCACUUGGUCAAGAUACUGAAAUCAUUCAUAUCUGACCAAUAUCACAGGGCAAAAAAUGAACCAAAACUGUCAAAUGACAAAAAAUUGAAUUAUUGGUAAUUAUUUAAAACCCAAUGUAAAGUGUACAUAUCAUAAGCCUGAUUCUAGUAAAUGUCAGCAAAACAGAGCCCUACUCUGUUGUUAUUUGUCACCCACUUUAUUUGACUCAAGGGAUAACGGUAAUAUUUUUAAUAAAUCCCUCCCAAACUAACACCAUUCAAAACACAAAAAUCUUCCCAAGUUUGAUCUGUCAUUGCAAAUUUUUCUGGAUCGAAUUUUGUGGAAUGAGGGUUAUAAUUUUGGUUACUAUUGAUAUUCUGUAAUGUUUUGGUGAAUAGUUUUUUUUUGCUGUGCUGAGAUGUUUGGUUGAAAAAAAUGUUCCGUAUUAUAGUUCUGACUGCUAUAAUGGAAAACUAUCCAGUGUUCUAGAGCAGAGGUCCCUAACUUUGUCCUCAUGGACCACCAACAGUCCAGGUUUUGCCAGGAUCUCAAUUUGAAUAAAAAAGGGAAAUACAUAAAUCCUGGAGGGUAGGUGGUCCAUGAGGGCCGGGUUGGGGACCACUGUUCUAGAGCAGGCUAGUGGUUCCAGUGAUGCAUUUUUCAUGACUGCUUGAACUUCUAAACUGCUUCAUGAAAGCCACUAGACAUGUUUUAUCCUAAACUAGACUGCCCUUUCGCACCUUGAUGGAGAUUAGAUUGUGGGACAUUAGAGCAAAACACUGUCUACAUUUACAAAAUGUAACACCGUUUUUCUCUACCAUUUUCCACAAAAUCUGAUUCUUCUGCAUAAUAGCUAACUGGAUAAUAAAUUAGAGGCAGAAUUGUCAUCUCUAUUAUGCAUUUAGGGCUCAUUCUCAUGCAUGUCAUUAACAUGCAGCCAUUAAAUUUACACUGUCUUAAUUCCAUAUCUGACCCUUCGCUCCCCUUCCGCGAUCCCAUUAAAGAGGUGGAUGUUACACUUUUGUAACACCCACCUCCGGUCUGCCUACACUUCUCCUCUGGUCUCUGUUGAUUUGCCCUGUUUGGGGACACUUCUCCAAGCAUGGCAAACCUCCUCCAUGGCUUAGUUCCCAUCAUGCCGGCAUCAGAACACGUCACUCUGUUCCUAUACUCCCUAGCCAGCGCUAGCAGCGCCAGCUAGGGAGUUACAAUAGCAGCCACAGUGCACGUGCUGUGGUUGCUAUGGGUGGAGAGAGCAAAGGUGCUUCAUGUGAGAGGUCUCUUCUGCUCUCUACUUCUCGGCCCUGAGUGUCUGCCAAGGAAUUGAGAGUCAGAUGGGAGAAAAAAUAUUUUUAAAUGGGUUUUUCUCCAAAUCUAUACUUUUGCUAGCAAAACUGCUAGCACAAUGUAUAGAUAAAGUUGUAAGCUCUUUUAAAAGAGCUAAAUUUAAUUAUAGCAUGACAUGUUCUCUUUCAGCAAUACCAACCAGUAGAUGUUUCCUUGGACCAUCCCUUCUGUUAAUAUUUUUAUGAUACUCAAUGUCUGUCUCAAUUAUUAUGGAUGAAAAACUAUACAGACUAUAACCACUAAAUCAAAAUAGAAAACCUACUAAAUACUGUUAAUACAAGCACAAAAAAAAAAAAUUUAAACCAUAUAUAAAACAUACAUGGUGUAAGAAUUCAAAUCAUACAAAAAGUUACACCUUCAAAAUGAGAAAAACAAAACUAAAAUACAACCUUAUUCCACAGAAAAUAUAAUAACAAAUGAUACCUAGAAAAAUAAACUGAACAUGGUGUAAUCUGCUAGACCAAGGGUUGUGGGAAAAACUCACAAGAACAAGAUGUAAUAUUGGCUCAUCACCCCUAGAAAGGAUAUAUGUAGAUGUAGGUUCUUCACUCUUGAAUAUGGGUCUUCAUAGACAUGGAAUAAACAUAAAGAGAAUAUAGUGCAGAUUGAAUGUACAAAAUGUAUUAUGGUGAAAAUUUCACUUACAAGAUAGUCGGAAAUACGGGAAUAUCUCCACUCCGAGUAAAUCAAGACGAGGAUCCUGAACUGAAUGUGAUCCCAAACGUAAGGGAGAGAAUUUCAUAAAAUAGUAGCCAAACAAUAGAAUAAAAACACAACAAAGAACAAUAAAAAUCAAAUAAAACGUCCCAAGGGGUUAAGUAGUUUUUUCCACGUUUCAUCCUAUUAACUUCCUCAGUUGGCCCCUAAUUGGUAUUGCAGUAGGUGAUUUCAUUCUGAGUCGGCACCCCCCCACCCCCUCCCAAAAGUGCAAUUUUACAUUUUACAAGGCCACUUAAAAUCACCUAUCUUGGGGGGGCGGAGCCUGACCAUCGAGUGGAGCAGACAUGCGGUGCUUGGGCUCCUGCAUGUUAGGCCGAAUUGAGGGGUUUUAGCCGGCUUUCCACAUGGUGGAACAUAUUUGUUUGCUUAGAUAGGUGAUUUUAAAUAGCCUUGUAACAUUUAAUCUUUGGUUUUGUGUGUGCGCUGUUCCUUUAAAUGUAUUUUAUAUAGAUUUUGAUCUUUACAGAAGCACCGUUGCUUAGAAAUGCAUGUUCUGAGUGUGCCCCAAAUUAAUUUUUUUUUUUUUUUACCUCCAUGCACUAUAACAACUUAAUUCAAGUUUAGUUGUUAUGGUGCACAGAGUGUUCCGUCAAAGUGUCAUUUUAGUCAGACAAUGACAGAUAGUAACUCUUUACAAUUUAGUAUGAAAAAACAGGUAUUACUUAGUGUUCCCUAUUAUUCUUUAUUGGAGACAUGAAACAUUUCUGCAGUAGGUAAUUACGAUUAAAUCAUUAAAAAUUAAGUUUUGCAACAUGGAAAUGGACCGUAAUUGCUAAAGAUAGCAACAGCCAUUUUAACAAUUACAGACUUGCCAGUAAAUUAUUGCAACAAGCAUAGAAACAAGCUCUUACUGGGCAGCAGCCUCAAAUGUGUUAAUUUAUGGAGUAUUACACAAUUUUAAGCAGGGUUCCGAGAACAGAACAGUAAGCUCAUCUUUCCUAAAUUAGAUGUUAUUGUGAGCCACCAGCAAACGCAUGGACAUUGAGUGCAUAAUGUUUUGUGCGUGAACAUAAAUCUAAAUUACAAUGAAUUUAUGUGGCUCAAAAUUUUUUUAAAUUAAUAAAUACCACUCACUAACCGAUAAUGCCGCACUAAAUGACAAAACAUUUAGUCAAAAGCACAGAUUACGUAAAAUGGCUCCUAGUUCUAAAUCCACCUACUAGUGUCAUUCUAAAAUCAUGUGGCUGCCCAGAGGCAGAGCUUAUCUGGUAAUUUUUAACAUUGGCAUGUUUUCAUAUCAUAACCAACAACCUUCAAUGACCUUGAAUUAGCAUGUAGCAAGCCGCAUGUCUAACAGCCCAAGAGGAGUGCUUAGGAUUUCUGCUUCUGCUGAAAGAGAACCAGAUACAUCAAAAUAAAAUUAAUUAGUAUGUAGACUGACAUUUAUUUUUUUCAAGCAAUAAAAUGAGGUAUUCCUGGGUAAACUGAUCAAAGUGCUAGAGGGCUUAGCAGUAUGUAAUUUCUCAUGAGAAAGCCUGUGCUUAUUAUAUGUCCAUAUCUAUUUAUGUUGUCUUAUGAUAAAUAAUUCUUGACAUUCUCUCGCUCCAAUAUUCAAGCAACUUUGCAUAUGAAAGAGAGAUUAUGUGAUAUGAUGCAUCCAUUAGAACAGGGAUGUCUAAACUCACCCUUUAAAUGUUGUUGGUGACAGAUAAUUGUGCAAGUUGCAGCCCAAUAGACUUUUGCAGAACUUCCCUUUGCAGGAGUUCCAACCGAUGUCCAGUGAGCUGCAAUGAUCAUUGGCAGAAGUCCACAGGAGAAAUCAAAUGAUCUUUGGCUGGCCCCCUGCAGGACCAGUGCUUCUCAAGUGCUGGCCAAGAGGCCCUCUCUUGGCCAGCACUUGAGAAGCACUGGUCCUGCAGGGGGUUCCAAAGUCGGUGGAGAGAUCAAAGAUCUAUCUCAUCAGCCUCGCUACCAUAAUGCUGGAGGGAAGGAGGGAGCAAAUGAACUUGGUUUCCACCUGAUGCAGACCAAGUUCUCUGCUCCUUUUACUGUAUGACAGCAUUGCUGCGGGUCACCACAUCAUCUGAUACUUCCCCUGGCACCGGUCAGAAGGAAAAGUCUCUCCAAGGAAAUCAACAGGGAGGAGAAAAUAAACUUUAGCGGGUUUUUUGUUGUUUUUUUGUUUUGUUUUUUUAUACUUAUUCAUCAGCCCCUUCCCCCAUUACAGUCUUUAUCCCCCAACACUAUAGCCACUAUUUCCCUCACAUAUUACCAUUCCAUCACCCAACAUUCUACAACACUUAUCCCCCUUAUACUUUACACCCACAAUUCCCCAUAUACUACAAUCCCUAUCUGCUCCAUACACAAUGGCUAAUAUGCACCUAAUACACUACAGCCCUUAUCUCCACACGCACAACAUCCACUAUCCCCCCACACUCUACAGCCCUUAUUACCCAUACACUACAGCUCCUACACCUAUUUCGGGAAACUGCAAUGUUUACAUGGCAGGGAUAAGUACUCCUAUAGUGGCUGUCAGUACAGGGCAGAUAGGGAUUUGUAUUCCUAAAGUUAUAGUUUUCCUUUAAAUGGCAGUCUAAGCACCAUAACCACUACAGUUCCAUGUUAUAGUCAUACUGCACAAUUCAGGCUGGACAAAAAUGUGCAAAACCUGUUUGAUAACAAAUUGUGGGAUGGUGCCCAUAGACUGGGACAGACCAUUGAGUUGUAGUGGUUAUGGCAUUUGGAGUGCUGCUUUUGGGGAAUAAAGAUGACAACACGAUUAUAUAAUGUAAACAGAAAACAAAAUUUUGUUUCUAUUCUGUAAGGUUUCUUUCUUUUAAACAGCACUGUCAUGGCUGAAUCCAGUUUUUUUUUAACCCCCCUCCCGACUCCACCACAUCUAAUUGCCCCACUAGUCGUCCACAAAUGCCCCUAGGCCCUCUAUAUUACCUAUUUUUUCAUCUUUAUUUUUUGCCCGGACCUAGGUCCUGGUUGCCGCUAUCUUUGUGUGGUUAGAUGAUGUCCCCUUGGGACCCGUCACCUGCCCACACUAGAUAGCGCUGUAAAAUUCAGUUAAACACUCGGGCAUGCGAACGGGAAUUUCAUCCAUUCAUUCGCCAGAAAGACAAAUAAAUUAAUAGACAUUUCAAACGAAUGAACGAAGACCUCUUCGUUCAUUUGGUUUAUUACAAGGAGGGAGCUACGGGCUCGCAGCUCCCUCCUUGUAAUAUGUAAAAACAGAAGCGGCAUCAAAUACACACAACUUACAAUCCCCAAAACAGCAGGGAGUCUGGCCAUCCCAGAUCUCCAACUAUACUAUCUAGCAUGCCAUAUGCAACGGGCCUUAGAAUGGGCUAAAGAGGGGGUACAUAAACCCUGGAAAGCCAUCAAAGCCCAUCAUGCAGGCCACUCUCUACCCUCCUGUGGCUUGAUCCCGCUGUCAGCAGGCGACUGAUCUCCCAACAACCGUUUAUUAUAGCCACUAUGUCUAUAUGGCACUCACAAGUGAGGAAACUAUGUCUGUCCUCCUUCCUGUCCCCACUAUUGCCCUUGGUGUACAACACUGACUUUGAGCCGGGGAUAAGACCAGGCAACCUUCGCUGCAUCCUUCCGCAAGUAAUACCCAGAAUCCGAGACAUUACUGCGAAUGGGAAAAUCCUGCCCCUGCAGACAAUCACAGGCACACCCACCCACACCUUCAUAACUGACUUUAGAUACACCCAAAUUAAGAACUAUGUCACCGUAAUAUCACAUCGCCCUGAUAUCUAUAGAGACCUCACACCGGUCCCGGAUCCAUAUACUCGAUCAUACAACAACAGCAGGGACUCCCUCUUUCAUGUCUAAAUGGGAAACCACCAUCGGGGAAACACUCACGGAGAACCAAUGGCACAAGAUCUGAGACGUGGUGCACCAGUGCGCAAUUGCUAGUAAAACCCAGGAAAAGGCCUAUAAGGUUCUCACGUAAUGGUACCUGACACCGGAACACCUGCAGAGAAUCCUUCUUACACAUAUGGUGGGAAUAAAAAAAAGGGUCUGGUUUCUUUACCAAAUUGACUGGUCAAUAUAUCGUGGAUUUAUUUUUAACUUCAUUUUUAACCAUUUUGAUAAUAAAUUGUCUUUUAUACUCUCAGUUGUUUUAGCGAUAUUUUUAUAUUGCUUUAUAGCAACCAAUUCCAAGUACUGGUUUUUGCUUGAUAUUAGUGUACAUUUUUAUGAACUUUUUUUUUUAUAUUAGUUCUUUUUCUGUAUUUUACUUAUGUCUUUUAUCCUUAUAAAAGUAGAAUAUCUGGUAAUGGUAACAUUUACCCUUGGUUACUUUCUGUACCAGGAUUAAAGAUACCUGUGCCACACAUAUUUUCUCAAGGUAUUUGAGUAUUUUGGAGUCAGACACUAAAGAAGAUACUGUUUCCAUUUUAUACUUUAUCUGAGCACUUUAGAGUCUAACACUUAAGACAAGAGUCUAACACUUAAGACACGAUUCUACAUUAAUCUAUUGUAUUAAGAAAGCUCCUGGAUACUUGUCACUAUUUUAUAUAGUACUACUCCCCUUUUUUAUACUGUUUUUAUGGGUUUUUGGUGAAUCCUUAUAUCCUUCCAGUUUUAGAGCUUUCUUCUGAUAGUCUUAUUCCCUCUUUUUUUCUGUAUAUUCUAUUCUUAGAUAUCAUAUUUUUGCACAUAUGGUGGGAAUGCCCAAUCAUAGUAUCGUUCUGGGGAAAAAUAGCCUCCAUAGUUGCCCUGUUCACAGAUAACGCGCCACCCUUCCGGCCAGCCCCCUACCUUCUGCACCACAUGACAUCCCCCACAUCCCGCUACAAACGCUCCCUGACCAUUCGCGUCCUUAACGUCUCGAAACAUAUAAUACCCUUGUACUGGAAAAAGGACACGGCCCCAGCGCUGACCCUUUGGUAUAACAAAAUGGAAGAGUUACGGGUCAUGGAGGAGCUGUGGUACGCAGCCCAAGACUGAGCACAGACGCACACAGACAUAUGGGCACCCUGGCUGGUGCGUGUGGGCACAGAGGAGUUCCGGACCAGUUAUCUGGGGGGGGAGAGGGGGAAGGAUGGGGCUCCGGGGGGCGGCUUGCCGCAUCUGCGGGGGGAGGGACCUGAUGAUCCCCAGUAGGAGACAGCGGGAGGCGGGUUAGAUGAUCCGCACCCGUUUUCAUACCACAUUCUCCCCUUACAUUGCCUCUCAUUCCCACUUCACCUUCUUCCCGGGGCCUGUGCCCUGGGGCUCGGGUCUUGGUCUUUCAGCCUUUUGGUAGAUAGCUCCCUGAUACUGUGGGAAUUAGGGAGCUAUCUACUAAGCGGCUGCACGAUGCAGCUAUGAUUGGAUCAGAAUUUCAUUCAUUCUAAUAAAAUUUCGACCUGAACAAAGUCCCAAAUUUCAUCCUAACACGAAUGGACAAACUGCUCAUAUUCAGUAAUUUUGCCGGUGUUUGGAAUGCAGAAAGGAGGCAUCGCAAGAACACAGAGGAAAGGUGAGAAUUGGGGGAAAAUUUCUCUGACCACAGGAAACGGAGCACACAAAGUCCCUACUUUGUCUUAUGUUUUAAAGAAAACUGGAGCAGACAGGAAGAAAUGAAGAACAGAUCCUGACAGAGGGAGAGACCAGGAAGCGAUUAAAGAAAGGUAAGUUCGUCAUGACAGUGCCGCUUUAAGGGUUUUGCAUGCAAUCCUACGAAAGGUGAUAUAUGCCAGUUUUUGUCCAUAUCAACUUUUGAGAUGGUUAUUGUCACUGCUUGGAAAAACCUGAAGAAGUGAGUUCACAGGGGUUUGUCAAUCCAUGUUUCUCUUGUGCUAAAAUCAUAAUAUCUUAAAGGAUCACUAUAGGGUCAGGAACACAAACAUGUAUUCCUGACCCUACAGUGUUAAAAUCACCAUCUAGCCCUCCAUGCCUCCCUAAAAAUAGCAAAAUCUUACUUUUAUUCAAGCCUGAAGCUGUAGCUACGCAUGCUGUUUGACUCAGAAUAGUCAAUAGUCAAAACCUGUCUGCUGACAUCAUCAGAAGUGGUGGCCUGAUCCAAUCACAAUGCAUCCCCAUAGGAUUGGCUGAGAUUGACAAGAAUGCAGAUCAGGGGCAGAGCCAGCAUGAUUCAAACACAGCCCUGGCCAAUCAGCAUCUCCUGAUAGAGAUGAAUUGAAUCAAUGAAUCUCUAUGAGGAAAGUUCAGUGUCUGCAUGCAGAGGGAGAAGACACUGAAUGUUUGGAUGCAUUUUAGGCAGCCAUGACCCAGGAAGGAUCUCUAACAGCCAUCUGAGGAGUGGCCAGUGAAGUUAUCACUAGGCUGUAAUGUAAACACUGCAUUUUCUCUGAAAAGACAGUGUUUUCAGCAAAAAGCCUGAAGGUAAUGAUUCUACUCACUAGAACAAAUUCAAUAAGCUGUAGUUGUUCUGGUGACUAUAGUAUCCCUUUAAAUAAUCAUAGCUCCACACGAGGCAGUUCCUUCCAUAAAGAUAUCAGUUUCUAUGGUAUCGACCACAAAAAUGAGCAGCGUUUUACAAUAUGAUUGGUAUCUGCGAGUGAAUCUGUCGUGAGCAGGUUUCUUAGGAAACAGGAUUAUGGAAGUGAAACAAAAUGCAUAGUUACUGUUCUUUAAUAAUAAAACAAAGAUUAAUGUAGCCAUGUAUGAAACGGGAAACGCAAGGAAAGUGAAGAGAUUAUUUAAAACUUGAUAAUGGCAAUCUGUCUUUACUUGUGCAACAGAUGUGGAUCGAGGGGACAUGCAAAGUAAUAGUCAUAGACGCAAUUCAGUAAAGCAAGGUGAAAAGUUCCUAAAAAUAGGAAAAGAUAUGCUAACCCUUGCCUGACUGUACAUUUUUUCCUCCAAUUUGAGGUGAUAUCAUUAGGUUGAUUUGAUUGUGUCCGUCUACAAUGUGAUUUAAUUAAUGUGGCAAUGAUAGAAAUCACAGACCAUUUAUAGACCUUUUACUGUGUGAGCUAAAGCAAGUAAGCCUGGCGAUCACUCUUCCCGUGUUCAUUUACUGUGCAAGCUCUGGGGAAGGAAAACCAGGCACUCCUUAUAAAUCAUUUAUCAUUACUCAUUACUCUGCAGAACAACAGAAGCUACCAAUGGUAAAAAAAAUGUCCUGUCCCCUCGCACUUAAUCACAGAGACUCUGGAACCCUCACUAAUAACCUGAUAGGUGGAGGAGAAACUGUCACUUAAAUGGACGGUGCAAUAUUUCAUAGAUGAUCGUAUGUAUUACCAAAGCAGAUGCAAAUUUUUUUUUUUUUAACAGUUUGAUAUCUAUUAACUAAUAUGGUCGAUAUUAUUUAAUUGACAAGAUUACGAUAGUGGCCAUGGGACAUCCCAUUUGGUUUACAGCUUUUUUCAUUAAAUGUUUGAAUGAUUGCUGUUGUGCAUGUGAGUUUAUGCUACAGUGGGAUUUAUUUUAAAUGGUCCACGCCCCACAUAAAUGCUUGUCCGGGUCUAUUUAUGCCCCCUCGAAAUGGCAGACUGCACACUGUUUAACAAUAACUUUGUUUUUUAUGACAGCAAUGAAUGUACCUGUAAUGUUUGAAUAAAGCCGAGCUUGAGAAUUAAAUCUGGACCUAAUUCUUGUCCUAUUUCAAACACUACAUCAGCACAAUAUCUCCAAGUAGAUCAUCAAUUGCCUUCAAUAUUCUACCCAUAAAAAUGCCAUCAAAACAGCAAUACAAUAAACAAAAUGUGUGUUUACCUAAGUAACUCAUCUUUAAACUGUGACAUAUGAUCAACAGCAUCAGUUAAAUAAACCAUGUGGGUAAUCUACGAAAACAGCAGCUAUGGAUAAUAGUUUCUGACUUUGGUCACUCCACAAAGUAUUUGACCAGUACAUUUUUUACUACCCCUUACUGUUUGAUGGUUUAUAUUAAAUAAUAAGUAUUUUAAUCACAAUGGUUUCUUUAAACAACUUUAUGCUAUUUUAGGGCACCUUUGAUUAGCCAAACAUUGUUAUUUUGCGGUCAGAGAAGGCUGUUUUUAUGCGGUCUGAAAAAUAUUAAUAUAAUUUAUGAUCGAAGUUAAUAAUUAAUUAUCAGAUAUAGUAAACAUUCUGUUUGAUCUUAGGCCACGCAGGGUCCGGAUUCCCAGCUUCAAGUGUAGAUUCCACUGUGUUCCUAGCAAAAUGCCUGAAGCAAAAAGAGUACAAAGACUGUGUAUCUACUAGUGAUGAUGAUGAACCUUGAACUACAUUUUCUGAGAAACUCUCAAACCAAAUAAACAAAACAAAAAAAAAGCUAUAAUUUUCUAAGCAUUAUAAUUGGAAUUAAGUGGCUUAUGUGGAAGUCUAUGCUACGAUUAGCCAAAAUGGCUGUGGAGACAAACUAGUACAGUGCUACGGAAUCCGAUGGCGCUAGAUAAAUGAUAAAAUAAUACUAAUUAGGGGAUUUUUCUAAAUUCUAAAAUGUAGUAAAUUGAAACCGUAAAGGCAAAAUACAGACUAAAUUAGCCGGCUGAACAUUUUCCCAUAUUAAUAAAAUUCUUCAUUUUUGAAGUGCAGCGAUCCAGCAUGAAAAUUUCAAUACAGUAGAACGUCAGUAAAAGAUAGACAAAUAUUGCUUAUAGAACAACAGUUGACAGGCUGCACUUACUUUUAAAAUUGUAAAUGACAUCAAGAGUACAGUUCUAACCGGUUACGACAGGAGGGUCAGUGCUAUACAAUAAAACUGGGGAAACUAACAUGAGCCAGAUUAACUAUUUUUGUCUACGUCUUAUUAUUAAGGUUUUAUUUGGCUACAAUUUAAUGUUUAGCAAAUAAACCAAAUCACGCUACGUGUGUACACCGACACACUGAUGUCUUGAACGUUGUGGAACAUACUGAAUGUUUUCAGCUACAUUUAUAAGAACUAUAUUUAUGAAGACCUGAUACUAAAUAUGAGAAACAUGUAUAUAUGGUUUCUUCAAGUAAUUAAUUUAGAAAGCAUGUUAUCACUGCACAAAACAUUUUACUGUGACUCUCGGUGGCAAUAUCUUCCUGCACAAGUGGUUGUUAAACUUGAUUUAUUUUUUAUGAUUUAUAUUUAUUUAUAUUUACAUUAAAAAAAGUUAAAACAUGUUUCCAUGCUUUACAGACAGUAAAGCAUUUAAGGCUCCAAAGAUGCUUUAUCUUUUAUAAAAAUAUAUGUGUAAAUUAAAGUAAAACAUUAAAUAUAAAAAUAUCUAUUUUAAAACAUAUUUAAUAUACAUUUAAAUAUACAAUUUUAUCUUAUGAAUAACGAUCUAGUUUAUGUUAAAAUAUUGUCUGUUUAAUGCACACCCAGAAUGUUAGAGUGCUCUUUAAUUCUAAGGGUGGAUUUAAAGGUUUCUCCAGAGACCAUGAUCACUUCAGUGAUUUGAGGUGGUCAUGUUGCCUGGAGUCUGUAAGUGCUGUGUUUCAAAGUGAAACGCUACAUAUAAGCAGUUCUACUUCUUUGCUGCUGGAGGGGUAACUCCACCUCCGGCAGCGUCAUGGGUUGUCAUCAACCAGCCCAGGUUUGUUCAGGGCUGGCUAAUAUCUCUGUGCAGAUGCACAAAUACUCAUUUAUUGACUGACCUUUUUAGCCAAAACAAUGAAUGGCAGGAUCAACAUCCGACAUCUGCAGCUCUGCAGAACCUGGAUGUCGUAAACUCUGCUUCACAGAAGACCAGGGGCACAGUGGGACCAAAUAAGAGAGCAAACAGUUGUAACUUUCUAAGGCUAAGCCAUACAUAUCAAGGGACACCAGGCACCUGUCUGUAUCCAAGUACUAAAUAUAGACAUUCUAUUUGCGUUUAUUAAAGGAACACUGAUACAAUACAACGAUACAAAGCUGUAAUAUAACCAUGUAGCCCCUCAUCCCACCUGUCUCUAAUGUAAAAGGUGAGUUUACUCACCUUUAUUCUAGCGCCGCGCAGAUCCGAUGGCGCCAACCCUACCCCUGAUCUGCCUCCUUGGCUGAGACCAUCAAAAUUGACAAUCUUAGCCAAUCUAAUGUUUUCCCACGGGAAAGCAUUUGGAGGCUAUUGCGAAUGUAUGGCAAAACGCCACGUUAGUCAAUCAGCAUCUCUUGAAAAAUGCCUGCAAGGACAACUACAUUAAGCGGUAGUUGUUCUGAUAACUAUAAUGUCCCUUUAAUUAUGGCUUCAUUACUACUUUUCCCCAGAAUAACACUUGGUUUACCUUGAUAAAUAUGGCCUUUUUAAAAGAUUUGUUUAUGUCAACCGUCAUGACCUCACUAAAAGAACACAAUGUAUGAUGCUGAUUACUGGCAUGUCUAACCAUGGUCAGGUCACUUACAAUUACAUUACAGGUGAAGAGAAUUUUCUUUGAAUAUAGAUUUCAGAGAUUCCCUGUGCUAGUGAGCUAAUCUAUGUUUGGGGGAAGUUUCCCCGAACAUAGAUUCGCAGGAUUCCCUGCGCUAGUGAUCUGGUCUAUGUUGGGGGAAAUCCCCCAAAUGUAGACCUGCUCUCUUGCACAUGCUCGCCAGCGUAUCCUCACUUACCGACCAAUUUGUUUUACAACCGAGUCAUAAGAACGGAACCCCGUAAGUGAGGGUUGUCUGUAUUAGUAUCCCCGCUAAACCUUUAUAUUGGUAUACCACCCCCCCGACCUUUAUAUUUGUAUUCCACCAGCCUCUUCAUUAAUAAAUUCAAUUUUUUCUAAUCUACAAAGCAUCCUUUAUAACUAUAUAUAGAACUAUAUAUCUUCACAAGCAUAAAACAACCGAGCGACUGCUGAAUCCACUAUAAAUGUAUCUAUAUAUUUUGCUAUGUGUAUGCUAAGCAAAUGUAUAUACUAGCAGAUAUUUUAAAAAUUGAAUAUGCGAUUCAUGUCUGGCUUUACAGAACUAACAGACUGCAAGAUUAAAGUUCCAGGCACAUUCUGUAUCCUGUCCCAAAAGCAUAGAAUUACUAGUACUAGUAUAUAUUAUUUAUAGAUCAUCAAAAUAUUCCACACCUCUGGACAAUAUCGGUCAUCUUCCCCUACUAAGCACGAACUGAUCGCAUUGGAACAUUUGAAGGAACACUAUAGUGUUAGGAAUACAAAACUGUAUUCCUAUCAUUUAUUUUACUAUCACUUUCUUUGUGUGAAUAUGUUUAUAACAGAAAUUUGAUGGUUGUUUAUUACAAUUAUUUAUAAAGAGCCAACAUGUUACACAGCGCUGUACAAUAGGUAAAUAAGACAAACAUUAAAAAUUGUAAUCUUAUUGUGCACACACAAUCUAGAGAGAGUUUUAAACUUAGUGUUGUUUGUAUUUGUCACGGGAGAUGGGACUCCUCGUACGUGUUCCCUUAAUUAUACUUUGUAUCGUCUAAUGUUUCCCUGCAUUCGAAUGAAAUUGUUCUCUUCUGUUCGGUUACCGAACAGAUUCUCUUCCCAAAUCAUGUGUAGGCUUGAUUGGAAGAUUGUGCUUGUCCCAUUCUAAAUAUGAUAAAAAUGAGGCUUGAGUAUUAAUCUGUGGAUAGGUAUUAAUGUCUCUUUUGGAUGGGAUAUUGGAAGACAAGGCUUGUCUAAUCAAAGGACUCCUUAUCGAAGAGGGAAUCAAGACAUAUGGCAAAAUAGAGAGUUAGUUUAUACUGAAACCAGACUUCCAGGCCACUUAUGUGUGACUUCUCACACCUUACAGAGUAGCACUGCUGGGGUCCCAGCUUCAAAGCGGAAUUUAGGUUGUACGCUCUGACCUCCCAUACAAUCAAAUUAACCCCUUUUGAAAUUGACAAUACUACCUUUACCAGGCAGCCAGUUCAUAUAUGCACGAACAUAACUUAUUUUACCAAACCGAUCUGUGCACUUUUUGGAUAUGUCGGGACAAUUUGGGAAUAUAAUUUUUGUGGGGUUCCGAUGCUGUAGUCAUGUAUUUUUGUGAUAUGUAACAAUUGUAUGCAAUUUUUCCUAUUUGAGAGAUAAUUGGAUUAGCUUAAAUGGAGCUUAAUUAUCUUUUAAACACAAUGGCUUGUGGAAGGAAACCCCUGUGAUUUUGUAUUAGAAACCCCAUGCUAGGGGCACUGCAUAAAAAGCUGAGUGUGGCCAAAUAACGUUCAGAUUGCUGCUUUUACCCAAUACGACUGGUUGUGUCCAUUAUAUUAGGGACACUCUACACAAAGGGAGUACUUUCACUAUUUUCAGCACAUCUGGAAUUAGGACUAGUGGAGGAUUGAAGGAAUAACAGCAAUAUACUCAUGAACCCGUGACAGUAUUUACUUUCGAAGAUAUUAUAAAUUUCGGAUAUUUUGUACUAAUUUCUUAGAGUUAUACUAGUAUUAUAUUAUAAGUAUCUGCCUAAUGUCUUUCUAUUGGUUUUCACAGCUUCCAGUUAUGGGAGGAGCCUUCAUGGACUCGCCCAAUGAGGACUUUGGAACAGAGUAUUCUUUAUUUAAUUCUUCUGGCAACGUACAUGCUGCUGCCUCUGCCCAGAGCCAGCCAGAGGAACCGUCUCGCUCCUCAAAUGACGCCAUAUUGCUUUGGAUUGCUAUUAUAGCUACAAUUGGGAACAUUGUGGUUGUGGGAGUUGUAUAUGCCUUCACUUUCUAAGAGGACUGAAACCGCAGGCGUCUCUGUGAGAGAAGACAAAGUACUUUUUAUUAAUGUACAGAAGAUGUUAAAUAUUUAAGUGCUGUCAGAUUUUAAAAACAAAAAAGACUAUUAAUCAUUUAGUUAAAAAGAAGUAAAUUUUCAUUGUACAGAGUAAACAAGUUGAAGUGCUUUGUGACCAAAUGAGCCAUAGCGUAAGUCUUUCUGGCUUGUGUAGGUUAUGGAACUGAGCUGUAGGUUAAAUAAUGAAGAAUAUGUGUGGGAAAAACAAGGAGAGGCCAGAAAUUUUCACUAACGCACAUGUAUACGGCUAAAUAAGUGUGGUUUUUACUGUUGACCUUAUUUGCUGUUGUCAUCAUUUUUUAGAUGUAUGGUCUGUUAUUGCAAAAAAAAAAAGAACAAAACCUAUUGAAAUUAUGCAAAUCUCCUAUUUGAUAUUCUCUGAGGGAUUUUCAUUAGCUGGCUCUCCAGCUGUACGCUACAGGAAAAAAAAAAAAAGCAAAAACAAACAUGUGUCAUGGUCUAAUUAACUGAUUAUCUGAGAAAUAUAACUGUGUAAAACAGAGGGUAAACAAAUUGCUACUUAUCACUAGGCCUUUCAAUGCCAGUGGGCACACAAUCCAACAUGCCAACAUUCCCUUUCAGUGCUUGAAGGGUUAAUUGAAUUUAAUUAGUUCUGUGCAGACCUGUAGAUUUUUCUAAGGGCUGUUUAAAAAAAAAAAAACACACACACACACAAAAACAAACCAGGAAACAUUGUUCAUUUUUAUAUAUUCUUUAAUAUUUCUGUAGUGUGCGUAAAAAACAAACAAACAAUAUUUAUGUUUUGUCAACAGAAGUGCUAAGGAAUAAUAAUGUGAUUGUAAACAUGAUAACUUGCAUCAUAAAUGUUUUAGUUAAAAAAAUUUAAUUUGUUUGUGUCUUCAAACAGGAAAGUAAGCAUGUGUGGUUUCUGAGAGGCUAUCUUGCAUUGAAAUUUAUUUAUUUAUUUUUUACUAAUUUACCCAAACAAUAGAGGCCAUUCCCAAGGGAGGAGACAGAAUUAGCAUCCAAGUGCUUUUUUUGGUUCCUCAAUAUCUGCACAGCGGCUAAUAGAUGUUUUGGUAGCCGAACUAGGCAUCAUUCUAAAGAGGAGCUAUUUCUACGUGAGUAAAUGGCCAUUUCAUUUCCAUGAACUUGCAUUGUCAUUUAGUAUAGAACAGGGUCGGCCAAAAGGUAAACCCCCUUCUUUAAAAUGCUUUGUGUCACUAUACUCUUUGUAUAGUAAUUUGAGACUGAAAAAAUGAUAGCAGCGACAGAUGGCCAGGAGUUAGAUGAGUAAUAUUACAGGAUUUUAUUCAAUAGCAGAUCAUAUUUUCGAAUUUCAAAUUGUAAGGUGACAUCAUCCAUGAAAUUAUCCCACAUAAUGUACAGAACACCUCAAAGUAGUCUGGGGGCUCUAACCGUGAGCAGAACCAGAACCAGGAAACACAUGUCACAUCUGUCCAAGAUUAGCAGUAGUUACACUUUGAGUGUCAUCUGCUACUGGUGGGGGCUAACGUAGCGGCUGAUUGGGACUGCAACUCCCACUUAUCUCAGGCAGCAGCAGGACAAGUAUACAAGCCAUUCUUUUUUUUUUUUUUUGAUAUGCAGUAACCGGAACAAAAUAUAUCCA
rnacentral:lncRNA from 1 species